GAAAACUGGGUUCUGUGUCGCAUAUUUUUGAAGAGGAGAAGUGGUUGUAGAAACGUGGAGGAGAAGGAGAUGGAGAGUUUGAGAGGCGGAGUGAAUAAUAGGAAGGUGAGGAAGUCGAAGAUGGUUUUCUAUAACUUUUUGGAACAGAGCAAGACUGAUUCCUCAUCUUCUGCCGGCAGUGGAAUUACCCAUGAAUCAGAUGAGCAUGAAGAGAGCAGUAGCUCCGACACCUUCCCUUAUUUUAGAAGAAAACCUUGACACCCUCCACUUAAAUUCUAGUACUACUGCUUGUUUUCAAAUCAUCUCGGAUCAACCUAAGUUUUACCUCUUUUUUAUAUUGUCUUUCCCUGUAAUUAUCUUCUUUCCACCGGCGCUGAGGGUAGUAAUCUAGGUCUGGAGUGUGUAAUCCAGUUCUUUUUUUCCUUCAAUUUCUAAUACCCUUCAUCAUCAUGCAAAUGGAAAGGCAAUGCAUCUUUUAGCUCGCUAAACCAGCUAAAAGCUACUAAUUUUUAGUCCCAAAGGAGAUGCUUUCACAGAGCAAAAGAGAAAUUAUCCACGAUGGAAAGCAUAACAAAAGAGGUUCAAAAUACAUAUAUAUUUAUGUCCAAAAAUAAAGGACCGUUUUCAGGAGAACAUCCCCAAAAUAAGAACAUAACAUUUGCCAGAUCAGCGUCGCACUAGUUACUACCGGGCUCUUCUUCCUUUUCUUCAGGGAAAGAAGAGGCUGCAAAACAAAGCUAUGGUCAUUCUUGUCGGAUCCACCUAAAUUCCUGUUUUUUUAGGGUAUUCCCUGCACAUCAUCAUGGUAAUAAUUUCUUACAAAAUAAACUAUAAUAGCUUCAGUUCACCUUAUUCCAUUUCCACCUUCACAACUAUGCGUAUCUUAUCCAUAUCUCCUUUCUACUUGUAAUUCUUAACAAGUCCGCAAGUUGAUAUUUUUUUUCCAACUUUCCAAAUCACCAAUAUUGACUUUAUUAAACAUUCGAUAAUUGUUUGUCCAACAUAUAUAUCACUCGAUCGUUCACAAUCACAGUUAUUUUUCUUUUGUCAGGUUAACCAUAAAAUACUGUAUAUAUGAAAUGCAAAGUGAGUUAGCCUAACAUUUCUCGACAUUAAAAUUUCAAAACAAGGGAUUAAAUUUUAACACGUCUAGUUUUAAGCUAUAUAGAGAGCAUGAGAGCUACGUUUCCCUAUUGUAUACAACACUGUUGUACACCACUGCCACUACCCUCAGUUUGGAGUUGACCCAAAUUCCAACACUACAACUGAUCCAAUUUGCACCUUUUACAAAAUAAUAAAAUAAAAUAUAGGAAUAAUUAUACAAUAUGCAGAAUAAAUAAACUACCAGCGUGUUGUAAUCAUCUCCAACAAACUAAUGCAGACACUCAUAAAAUUAUAGUUCAACUCUCAAUUACUUUAUGUAUUGAUAACGAUUUAGUGGUAUAAGACAUCACUUUUAAGGCCACUUAGUCAGAGUGUGUCGGACCCAAUCCUCGAAAAACACCAAUCCAACAUACGAACCCUGUUUCGGGGAAAGAAGGGACCGCACAAUUAAAACUUUAUUAUCGUUAGCGAUUUUCACUCUUUUUUUCACAAUUAUAAAAAGUAGUUACAUAAAAAGCAUUGCUCGGAAUUAUACAAAUAUCCAAUGCAUGUAACGAUUUGGUUUUUCUAAAACGAGAAAACAUGAAGGAAUAGCAGUUAUUGAUAAAAAGAAUUGAAUAUUUGAUGAUGAGAUGGAAACAGUGAGACAAGAAGAUCGUGGAAAUCUUCAACUGGGGCAUCACUUGAAGGUACCAUAUUUGUCAUCUACCCUUAGUCCGACGUGGUUGCCCCUCGUUUUCCAACCAACUGGGUCCCUUUAACCUUUAUUCUUUCACCCACCUUUCUCCUUUAAUUUUCUUAUUAUAUUUUUAUUCAAUACACAAUUUUACAUCCAUUUAUAAAAUAUCAUAAAAGAAUAAAUCUUUAUAUUUAAAAAAUAAUAAUAAAAAAAAUGUCAAAUAAUAUAAAAAAAUGUGUAUAUCAAAAUAUAUUUUUCCUUUUAUUACACUAUAUAUCUCUCCUCCACCUUUUCCAAUUUUUCAUUCUAAAAUACUACCUCAUUUGUUCUUCAUUUUCUUUCUUAAACCCAACCUCCCUCACUAUCAAACCACUUUUUCAAAAUAAAUAAUUCUAUCAGUUAACAUCUUAUCUUUUUUCAUGGUACUCUAAAGUUAUGGUGCGUUUCAUGAUAAACAAAACAAGUCACUUAACAAUCACAACAUACUUGAGCAUCUCACACACUUCUCCACGAUUCCUUAAUAGCGGCAACCCUUUUACAAACUUCUUACCUUAAUUCUAAUCAAGUUUUGCUAACUAACUAAUAUUACCAAGUUAUCUCAAUUUUCAUUUGUGAGAGAUCGUCGUGUUUUUCAUAUUUAAUCAAUUGCACAUGUUUAUACGUAAUUAACUAAACAUCUAUAUUGUUGAAAAGUAUUAAAAUUAGUGGCUUUUUAAAACAAAUAAAAAUACUAAAAAUCCAAAAAUACUUAAAAAACUAGUCAAAAUUCAAUUAUUGAAGGUGUGCAGAUGUGACCUGUGAUAUUAUUGAUUAGCAUUUAACCCAAUUCCAUUUUUAACAUACUGUGCAGCAAUUAGAGAGCAACGUGUACAAUUUUUAGUUGUUUAAAUUGAACUCUAAAAUGAGUUCUUUUAACUUUAUCAUCUCUUUAUUAUUUACACGAUUUGUUCGAAUGACACAUAAAAUAAUUGUCUCCCUUGAAAGAGACAAGGUAAUAUGUUAAAAAAUUGACAUCAAUGAUAAUCCCGUAUUCUAAUAAAGACCUCAUAAACAAAGCACACAUUCAAAAUAAAUUUAUUUAUUUUUUCUUCGAUGAGUAUGCAAAAAUAGUAUGGUCAUGAAACCUUUUUUUUUUUAAUAAUUUUAAUAGGUCCAAAAAUUACAUUUUAGAAUAAUUUUUUAAUAACUUUCAUAUUAUAUACUAGUCUUUUAAAAGUAACCGGUCAACUGUAAGUUGCUUAUAUAACAACAAUCACAAAAUCUUAUACGGCACACCUAGGUCGAUGUAUUUUAUCAAUAUUCAACAAAUUGGUUCUUGAAUAAAAAAGAGUAAAGUAUAUAUAUUGGUUUCUUUUAAAAAUAAAAACUAAAUUCGAUAUAUUAGCUCCUCUAAUUCUUUUGUCUUUUUUUUUUUUGCAGUCACUUAGAUUUUGAAAUGCAUCAUUUUAUCCUUCGAAUUUAAAUAACGUUUUAUAAAAAAACAAAAUUAUCUAGACAACGUUCGAACGAUGAAAAGUUCUGCCUUCAUAAGUAGAAGGAAUAAAAAGAAACAACGUUUUUGAUAUAUAACUAAACUUUGGAUGUUUUAGAAUGUUAAAGAACAUAUUUUUACACUUACCAUUGACAUGAAAUAAUACAUCUAGUAUUUUUUAGAACAUCUUUUGUUGAAAUGAAAGGAAAUUAAAGCCGGAAUCUAGUUACAAAUAAAAAUAUAUUAAAACGUUGAAUUUGUGAAAGAAAUAUAAUUAAAGAACACGUUGCUAAUUGUAACUACGCAUAAAUUAUAUUAGACAUCAGUAAAAUAGAGAUGGAUGUUUCAGGUCAACGUUACGGUCAUCUGACAAAAAUAACAGACUAUUUUUUAACCUGUCAAUUUAAAUUUUCAAUCAAUAAUUUAAAAAAAAAAAAUGUGUAUAAUCAAAAGUAAUUUUAGUCGAUGGAAAUUACUUAUCUAUAAAAUAAAGCAGGUAGUAACAUGAACCAACGUAAGUGCAUACACUAUUUUUAGUGACCUAUCCAAAUAAAGUUUUUUGAAUUAAUAAAUUUUAAAAAAGUUCACCACAAUCAGACAGAAUUUCCUGAUAACUUAUUAUUUGUGAAAUAAAGGAAUUAAUCAACUUGUAUUUUUUUCCGACACAGAAUUUUUUUUUAAUAAAAAGAGAGAGUGUUUGACUAGUACUUAAUUGAAUUUAAAAACACUUGUUCUACACUCCCAAGUAACGUGGACGUUUCCAUUAUUUAGUGGGAAAAUAAAAAAUAAAUUAGGCCCACAUAGAAAUAUAUUAUGACAAUUGAGACUGCAAUACAUAGGAUCAUGUCUGUCUGGGAUAGAAUAGAUUUUCUCAUUGGUUUUAUAUGGCCAUAGUUUUUAUGCAUGUAGCUUUAAUAAGAAUAUAUGCCAAUAUGUAUGGUUAGUCGAUUUGAGCGUGAUUUAGACCCUUAAGUUAUUGAAAAGCUAACAGAAUAUUUUAAUUGAUUUGAAAAUGAUUUCGCAAGUGUAUGUUGUUUACGUUCACGGCUCCUCAAAUGAAUGUGGUAUCAGAAGAAUUCAUAAAUGCAAUAAAUUCAAUUUUCAAAAGUGUCUCAGAUACAUAAUUAACUAUUUGUAAUCUAAAAGGAUCUUGAACAAGCGUGGACCUUAAUUGCAUUUAAAAAUUAAAACCUUAAGAAAAUCAAAGCUAAAAGGUGAAUUAAGUACCUAUACAUAGUAAAUAAUGUUAGAAGAAAUUAAUUUACUUUAACUAAUACAAAGUUUUGUAAAACAUGGAUGUCCCGUUAACAAUAGACUGAGGAGUCAACAAUCUUUUCGAUAUUAUGAAAGAUGAUUGAUGCACUGAUCAGUUAGACUAUAAACAAAAUUAAUAACGAGAAUAAUUACAUAAUCCUAAAUCAAAUUAUUACUAUUUAAAUUAUAAUUAAGCUAAUAUUAAUCAAAAGAAUAUCCCAAAUAUAAGUUUAAUAUUUAGAUAAUUAAUUACUUUUUAUUAGUAUUUAUUGUUACAAUAAUUAAAUCAACACUAACUUUAAAGAUUGAACAUAAAAUCCUGUUUGGAAAACAUGAAAGGGGAUUUGAAAAAUAAGAUAAGAAUAAUAUUAGUGAUGUAAAGUGGAAAGGGAGGGUAAGAAAAGGUAACACCGACAGAAUAGGAUGCGUCUGAAGUGUGAAGAAGUUAGUAACUAACAAAACAAAACAAAACCAAAAGAGUUGAGUUUCCUGUAUUCAUUGAUAUUGGUUUGCUCCCCGUUGAGGGAUAGAACAGAAAUAGAAACAAGUUAGUGUGAGAGAGGGAGAGGGUUAGUUGUGUACUUUCAUCAAAUCAGUGCCAUGCCACUGAUAUAGCCUCUUUGUCUUGCCUUGGGUCACCUCCAGCUGUACCCCAUCACAAAACCUCACUUCAUGCACCUCUUCAUUUCACUUCAACAGUAAAACCACCAAAAUCAAAAUUUAGUAAACUCAAGACAAAUUUUGUUUCCAAGAAAAAAUGGAGAACUUGUUUUGUUUUAUCCAAGGAAGGGACCGAGGAGUGCUUGUUUUGGAUAAACCCAACGGAAUUCUCUUCCAAUCACAACACAAGGAACAAGAGGUCGACGGAACUAGGCUUUGUUUUCUUAUUAGCAGCCGCAGCCGCAGCCACUCUGGUCUCACGAACUUUUCUCACGAACAAACCAAAAUAAUAAUAAUAAUAAUAAUAAAACCUUAAACCACAGUUAAUAUAACGUCAAAGUAAAAGAAAGGUUGAGUCUGGUUUACGCAAAAUGUGUCGUCUUAUUCUUCUCCUUCCUUCCUGUCAGACCCAUUUCUAUAAAAGAAGCCACACUGCAUCUUACUCCAUACCCUUUUGCUUUCUUUAUCCAAUAAUAAUAACCCCCUUUUCCCUCCUUUUUCUUCUUUCCUUUCCCCUUCUUCUUCAGCCCCUUUCUUUAUUUUCCUCAACGCUUUAAUGGACUUAUAAGAACCCCCACGAGUGCUUCAAUUGUCACCCACCCAACUUUCCUACUCUGCUCUAGUCGGACACACAGAGCUAUUCUCACUAUAUUCCUAAACAUAUACAGAGAAGAAGUAGGGCGUGGUCGAAUGGAGAAACUGAAUUUUGUCAAAAAUGGGGAGCUCAGAUUGCCUCCGGGCUUCCGUUUCCACCCAACCGACGAGGAAUUGGUUGUGCAAUACUUAAAGCGGAAGGUUUUCUCCUUCCCUUUGCCAGCCUCCGUCAUUCCUGAGUUUGAUGUUUGCAAGUCUGAUCCUUGGGAUUUGCCAGGUUUCCAUAAUUCCCUUCUUCUCCUCUCUCUUCUUCUUAACUAAUUAAGUCUAAUUGCAAUGCCUUGUGGAUGGUGUGUUUAGGUGAUUUAGAGAAAGAGAGGUACUUCUUCAGCACCAAAGAGCCCAAAUAUCCCAACGGCAACCGCUCCAACAGAGCCACCAGUUCAGGUUACUGGAAGGCCACUGGGUUGGACAAACAAAUUUUAACUUCAAAAGGGAACCAAGUAGUGGGAAUGAAGAAGACACUUGUUUUCUACAGAGGAAAGCCACCUCAUGGAUCCAGAACCGAUUGGAUCAUGCAUGAGUAUCGCCUCCUUAACCCUCCGUCUCAGGUCAGGAUUCGGAGAGAGCAAAUUAACUCACAAUUAUCCUCGCGCACGCAUUAAUUAUUCAUACAAUAUUUUUGGUUUGUUUGUGUAUUCAGGUUCCCAUGGAAAACUGGGUUCUGUGUCGCAUAUUUUUGAAGAGGAGAAGUGGUUGUAGAAACGGGGAGGAGAAGGAGAUGGAGAGUUUGAGAGGCAGAGUGGAUAACCGGAAGGUGGGGAAGUUGAAGAUGGUUUUUUAUGACUUUUUGGCGCAGAACAAGACUGAUUGCUCAUCUUCUGCCGGCAGUGGAAUUACCCACGAAUCAGAUGAGAAUGAAGAGAGUAGUAGCUCCAACACCUUCCCUUAUGUUAGAAGAAAACCUUGAGUCCCUUUAGUUAUUUCUAGCACCACUACUUGUUUUACAACCAUCUCAGAUCAACCUAAGCUUUGCCUCUUUCUUUUAUUGUCUUUCCCUGUAAUUAUCUUUUCAUUUUCAACCGGCACUAAGGGUAGUCUAUGUCUGGAGAGUAUGCUACUAAAACUAGUGUGUAAUCCAGUUCUUAUUUUUACUUCAAUCUGUUCUUACUUUUACUUGAAUCUCUAACACACUUCAUGAUGCAAAUGCAAUUGCAAUGCUGCUUAAAAGUUACUGAUUUUCAGUCCUAAAGGAAAAGCUUUCACAGAGCAAAAGAAAAUCACAGUUUUCUUCACAAAAUUUUAAAAAUAAAUUAAAAAAAAAUACACGAAAUGAUAAAAAUAUGUAACGUAAAUAUAUAUUAUACGUGUAAAGAUUUGGUUUUUUCCAGAAUGAGAAAAGAUAAAGUAGUAACACUUAUAUUAAUAAAAAAAUCAAUAUUUCAAUACAUGUAUGAUUAUGUAAUAAUGUUAUACUACACGUUCAUUUUUUUUUAAUUAAAAACUAUUUAUUUGAUCUAUUAAAAGAGGACUUGAAUUCUAGAGGCAAUGUUAUCAUGAUCAUUGAAUUUAUGUUUUAGUAUAUAAUGAAUGAUAGUUAGAUAUCAUAUUAAAAAAAAUUCGGCAAAACUAAAUAGGAAAAUUACAAAAAUUGUUGGUCUGAAAAUGAAUGGCAAGUUUAUUUAUUUUAUUUUUCUAAUUGUAGCAAAAGUGUUUUCAUCUAAUUUUAAAUGUCUUAAAACAAUUUUAGAAGAAAAAUUAUAGAAAAAAAUGUUAUAUUAAUUCUUGUUUUAUAAUUAAAACUUACUUCUUUACUAUUUAUAGGGGGGUUUUUAGUUACAACUCAAUUACAAUAUUUUGUUCAACUACUUUUAAUUAAUAUUAGAAGAAUUUUACAAUUACAAGUAUUCUACGUCCAUCUUAAUAAGAAAACAUUACACUUUCUUUUAUGUAUAAAUAGAUAGUUUUAAGAAAACAUUACACUUUCUAUUAUAUAUAAAUAGAUAGUUUAAAGAUAAAAGUAAGUAAAAAUGUAAGUUCGUAGAAGAGACAGUGAAAAUAUUUUAAGAAUCAUACUGUCCCUCCCAUCGCAUUUUGACUCUUUGGUAUUUUGCUCACAAAAAUUGGAUCAAUCAUGCCAUUGUGCAUAAAAAUGGCAGACUACCAUGUUGUACAUAAACAAAUUUAAAAAAAAGAAAUACUAUAUUCUAACAUUAAUCUUAUUUAAAAUUUUCAUAUCUUUAUUUCAUUAUAUAGAUUUACAAUUGAAAUGAGCUGAAUAUAAGAUUACCAUCUACAUUAAAUAAAUAUUAAAAGUUAAAUAUUUAAUUAACAAUAAAAAAUAAUUAUUAAUUAAGUUACUAAAAAAUUAUAAUAAUUAACCAUAAUUUUUCUUUACUUUCAAAAGUUUUUUAUAUAUAUAUUUUAAUGACAUUGGGUGCAGUCUUGGAACAUUCCAUAUAUUUUACCAUCUAUACAUUUUAAUAAACAUACUUAGUUUAAGAGCACUUUCAAUUUAAAAAAUGAAUCUGAACUUUAGUUUCAGCAUUAUAUUUUAAAGGUUUAGAAGAUUAUAAAGUAGAUUAUAACGCUUUCACAUGGAUUAAUUUCUUAUCCUUUUAAGAUUAAUGAGUUUAAAUCUUGUAUCUGGGAAUUAAUCUAGAACUAUGGUUAUCACGUUUGUGUUUCUUCUAUCAUGUAUGUGUUCUUACCCCUUUGGGAAUCUAUCCAAAAUCUUCAUACUGUAUGAGAUUAGAGUAUUCUACUAUAAUCUUUUGAGGCUCGUUGUUAACAGUUUGGAAUUUUUCAAACAAUUCGUUUCAAUACAAUUCUUCCUGUGUUUUAAGAUUGGUGGGCUUUUUCAAUUAAACAUAGUUUGUGCCUUCGUGGAUUAUCUUAUAGCAUCAGAUAAUUGUGUUGCUUUGUACCCAUGAUAUUUAUUAUAUUCAAAUUUAGGUAAAAUACAAUUUAUAAUAUUUUUAGCCUAAGUUCUUUGUGUUUAAUUUUCCUCAUCUAACUUAUUUGAACACAGGACAGAAUAAAAUAGGCCAACAAUAAAUCAUUAGAACAUUUACUUUAGUUUAUCUGUUGGACGAUGCAUCAAUGGUUCAUAUCCUCUGAAACAUCAAAUGAAACAGACAUCUAUUUAGAGGAAUUUAUCAUCUAAAAAGAUGAACGCAACUGUUUGGAUUUUAAAAUAAUAUUUUUAUUUUUUAACACGUAUAGUAACUGUGAAUUAACUUUUGAAGAAAAGUCAAGUGAAAUUCUUCUUAAAUCAUUGUUUCUAAAAUUUAACUUCUAUGGUUAGACUAAAACUGUAUAUAAAGUCACAUCCUAAUUCCACAUCAGCCAAUCAUGAUAAAGACAAAUUUAUUUGGACAUAUGUCAUAUAGGACCCCUUUACUUAGUAAUUUUAUCAUUUAAUCACAGUUCUAAUUACUUAAAAGUGUUAGUACUCGAACAUUUAAAGAAGGAAAAAUACUAGUUCAUCAUCAACUGCAAAUAUUGUUAAGAACUUCUGUAUUUUCAGCAUAGUUUUUAUUCAAGUACAAAAAUAGUAUAUUUUUUAAACAUGUUUAAGUUCGAUUUUGAAAUUCGGAUGCAUAUUUUCCGUCUAACUAUAUUUCAAAAAAUUAAACUUUGCCUAAUGUACGAGACUUCUCUCACUUUAACUAACUCUAUAUUACGAAAGAUAGGGCUAUCAUCACACCCUUUUAUCAUGAAGUAAAAUUUUGAAGGACUCAAAAUUAUCAAGGGAACUGACUAUAAGAACGAAAUUCACUAUUUCACAAGUCCCUAUAAAUAUAGCUAAUAUAGUAAAAGAGUGCUGGGAAGAAAUGUUAAAAGUGUGUUUGGUAACAUUCUUGAAUUCAUUAAACUAGAGAAGACUAUAAAAGUUGAGCGGUAGGAACAAAAAGAUGAAUUAAGAAUGAAAGAAAUAAAAAAGAAUUAAUUGGCGAGCGGAGUUUGUUGUUAAUAAGGGUAUUAGAGUUCUUCACGUCACCUUUUCUAUUUAAGUUUCAUUUUCAUGGAGAAAAUACAGGAUGACAAAGAGUGUUGUGUGAAUUGCUGACUUAGUAGAACAAUGCAAACUUUUGUCAAUCACGUGGGUAGCCUAUCAUGGUCACACAUGACCCGACCCAUUCACUCCAAUCCAAGCUAAACUUGGUAGUAGGCUCACCUGAUUAGGUCAAUCAGGUUAAGAAGGUUUCCUAUCAAUUAUUAUUUUUCCUUCAAAAACUGUCUUGCACAGAAGGCAACAUGUCCAUCCAUCAAUUGUGACUAUGUCUAUUAAUGUUGUUUGCCUGUAGGGUUUUACAAGGUUUGCUUAGUACAAUUGAAACAAACAAGACGUGUCCAUUUCUUACUUCUUCUCCUAACCAAAUAAAUCUAAGUACAUGGGCCCCAAUUCCCAAAAGAGAUCCAAAGUCCUCUUCUCCACCAAGGCAAAAAUGGAUUAAAAUUGUGAGUGACUCAGUACAUGUUCAACUCGAGUUGAGAUAUAAAAAAAUAAAAUAAACAUGAAUCAAACUGAACUAACUCAGGUUCGUCGAAUUCAAACUCAAUUGAAAAUAAACUGUGUUACUAUUGCCUAACAAUGUCAUUUAUUAUAAUUAUUUACUAUAAGUCGAUAAUUUGAUCUUUUGAUCUUCUUUAACAUUAGAAUCAUGCUAAUAGUGUUAAAUUAUUUGAAUAGGAUUUCAUUGUUUGUCUAAUUGUAUAUAUUAUGCUUACUAUUUUUAUAAUAGUAUUUUCUAAUUUUAGUUGAUGUUUGAUGAAAUAAAUAAAUAAAUACCUUAAUUAUAUUUUAACAGAUAUAUCAGAUCAAUCUACUUUGCUUCUACUAAUAAAACCAAAUUGAAAGAAAAACAAAGCGUUAAGGAGUCAACCGGUUGGGGAUAAGUUGGCUUGCAUCGCAUUGACGUCAAAAAGCCAAUUCCAUUUCAGCCCUACAACAAGUUCACGGGCCAUAAAUUAAGGGCCCCCACAACACUACGGCCCAAAACACAAUUCUCCCUCCUUUACCACUGUUACCUAUAUUGGCAAUUUUCUUUUACAACUUCUUUGGAAAUAUAUGUGUGUGUAUAUAUAUAUAUAUAUAUAUCAAAUCUCAUCGAUCAUGAUAACUAAAUCAAUAAGAACUCGUUUGUUUGACAAAAAUGAGAUAGAGCACCUCUUGAACAAGUUUUCACGAAAGGAUAGUUUGAUUAAGAGCUCUAUGAAAUAAGUUAAAAAGUGUUUAUGGUUGCCUAUAGAAAUUAGAUAAAGAAAAAAGAGUUUAUAGGGAGGUUAUAUAGAAAACAAAAUAAGAAUGGCAUUAUUGUGUAAUUAUUAGGUAAGAACAGUCCAUAAAAGAAAAUAAAAAUAACAGUGAAGAGCAUGUAACAAGAGUAUGGCAGGCACGGCAUAGCUAGAUUGAUAAGAGAUAGAAUUCAAGCAUAGAAUAUAUUAGAAAGCAAUCUGUAAAAGUAAAGAUGGAGUAGGAUAUUUGAGGGUUACAAAUAGGAUUUGAAGGAAAAAAGGAGUGAGUAAUUGAAUGAUCCUGCAAUGAUGCAAGAGAUGAUUGAGAGCAUGCCUUGAAGACAGCUUCAUUCUUGAAAUGGAUUUCAGAAGAAGAGAAUAGAGAUGUGGUUGUCGAAGAAGAAGAAGAAACCCUAAAAAGGAGAAAUAGAGAGAUAGAGAGAGAUGGAAAACCUGCCAAACGCGGCGGAGGAGGCGCUUCUCAGCAUUGGCUUCUUCACGAUCUCCAUCACCCGCGUCCCCCACAGUGCACCACCCAUCCUUAGAUACCAAAUAUCUCUUUCUUUCCGUUGCCCAGCCACCACCACCACCUCCACCCCUUUUUCUCAUUUCCAAUUUGGGCUCAACCUUUUCAUUUUAUUGGGCUUUCUUUCUCUCUAUCCAUUUCUAUUUCCAUUCUCACAUUUUACUAUUUCCACUCUUCCAAUUCUCUGUCUCUUAUAUUCUUGUAUCCUAAUAAUCUAAUUUUACCUAAAUUAAAAACGUAUUUAUAGCAAAAAAUAAUAUUAGGAUAAUUAUAGAUAGAUUUCAUUUUUAAUAGAACAAGAAAAAAGAAAACUACACUUUCAGUACAACAACUCUUUAAUUUUAUUAGUUUUUGUAUUCAAACAAAAUCAAAGAAUCAUAGUAUUUGUACUAAAAUAAUAAUUUUAUUAUUAUACUAAAAAUAAAAUAUAUAUGUAUACUCACCAUACUAAACCAAUUAUUUAUCUGAAAAAAAAAUAUCAAAAAAUUUAAAUGUAUAUAAUAUAAAUCAAAUUUGAUAAUGAAGACAUAAACAUGUGUUUGAAACCAAUGAUUAAGUACUCGAAGCAAAUCAUAUGUUAAUAUAAUUAAAGUAAUUAAAAGGUAAGAAAAAGAACAACUUCCUAAUCAGAUGUUGAAGAUAAACAAAAUCCAAAUAUUGAUACAUUAAAAAAUAAUCUAAACACAUUAUCAUAUUAGCAUACGAAAUAUAAUAAUGACUUAUUUUUAGUUGCACUUGUCAUGCCAUUGAGAAUAGCUAUUACAUUAUUUCUUACAUUUCCAUACUUAUAAAGAUCUUAAAUCCUUUGAUUUGUUUGUCUCAAUUUCACAAAAACGAGUUAAUAUAAGCAUUUCCACAAAAUCUGAGUAAAAGAUACACAAUAUUUUAAUUACUUCCCUAAUAUAUUUCUAAAACGGAAUAAACCUGUUAGUAAAUAAUCCAAAAUUAUCAAAUUACAAUAAAGUGCAAGAAUCAUAAACUAUAUUCAAAGGUAGUUAAUAUGUCCCCUCUUACAUUUAGCUUUGAUUUUACAGAGCCUUUAAACUCUAAUAUUUGAGUCCUCUAAUUAACCCAACCACAAAAGUCCUAUAACAAUAACGUAAAUAUAUUACUAAAACAUUUUUAAAACAAAAUAAGUUUAUAUUAAAAAGGAAAAUAUUUUUUUAAAAACUUUAUUUUAAUAAUUUUUCUACAACGUCCAUGUAGAAACUUGCAAAUGAUCCAUCUCAAAUAUUUUAUUAAAAAUAAAUUCAUACAAACUAAUAAAAUAAUAACUAUUAUCAAAAUAUUAUUAUAAAAAGUUAUUAACAUAUAAUUAAAAAAAGUUAGAAUCGUACAAUUUUAAAGAAGUGCAAGAAAUAUAAAUUGUAUUAAAAAAUAAUUAGAAUAUCAAAUCUUAUCCUUUACUUAAAUUUGAGAAAUUCCAAAAUACUUUUAAUUAUAGAUAAAAACUUACUAUGAAAAUAAAUUCAUUGAUAAAAUAACAUUUAUUAUAAUUUUCUUUUGACAAAAAAAAAUUGUAAAUAAAAAUUUGAAUUAUUGACGAAAAAAAUUAUUCAAUAAAAUAUGUAAGUUAUCUUAAAUUAUUGUUAUCGAAGGUUUUUUUAUUAGUAAAUCAUGUUCGGGCACUACAUUUUCCACUUUGAUUCGUGCUAAAAUUUGUUAGUGAAAUUGUUGAUUAUAAAAAUUUUUAAAAUCUGUCAGUAAAAAUCCAUCAAAUAAAAAUUUAUUUAUUGAUGAAAAAUUCCUCCAAUAAAUUAGGAAUCAAAAUUAUCACUCAAUCUAAUUAAAUAUUUAUAAAUUAAUUGAUUAAUAUUUGUUGAUAAUUUUUUUUCGAUAAAAUAAAUUUUUAAUUAUAAAAAAAAAUGUUGAUAAAUUCGUUAGUAAAAAAAUCCGAAAGAAAAAAAAAAUUGUCUAAUUUUUCAAUAACAUAUUCGUAAAAGAAAAUUUUGAUAAAAAUAUAAAUUGUCAGUAAAUUCGUAAGUAAUUUACAGUUGUUAUUACAAGGAACUUUUCUAUUUGUGAAUUAUGUUGAUAAAAGAUUAUGCACUUCCUUUUUUAUUUGUGAUAAAAUUUAUUAAUAAAUUCGUCGAUAACUGAUUUUCUUAAAAUCUAUUACUGAAAAUUUGUCGAUGAAUUUAUGGAUAAGGUACCAAAUUUUUCAUUCAAACUAACAAAAUAUGUUAAUAAAUUAAUUUCUCAAUAUUCGUCGGGAAAAUAAAAUUUUCAUCAUCUUCAAGAAUAAUUGCAAAAAUAAUGAUAAGAAUAAAAGAGAGAAAAAGAUAAAUAUUUAUCAAUAAAUUUUAAUAAAAAUAAAAAUUAUCCAAUGAAUUUUAUUAAUGAAUAAUUAUUCAAAGAAUUUUUAAUUAUUAAUAAUUAUCGACAAAUUUUCGAAUCUGUUGAUAAAAUUUAGUGAUGAACAUUUGAUGGAUAAAUUUUUUACUUGUAGUGUGUAACAUCUCAAUAAAUAUAACUUGAAAACUAUAAUUUAUUUUAGGGGUAUACAUAAACAAUAAUAAAGGACAGUAGGAGAUAAGCACUUAAGAGUAACGAGAAUAUGAGAUUUCAUAUAGAAUUUAAAGUUGUACAAAAAUAUAGAAGUUUGGUAGCUUUAAGGCCGAACAGUCAUAUGACAAGUUCCAGGCCGAAUGGUACAUCAAAGGGAUAACUAGACCGAACGGUUCUUACAAAACACGAACCGAACGGUUAUUACACUAAGCAAAUGAAAAAUCUAAUCUAAGGACCGGACGGUCCUGCACAAGUCUCCGACAUCACAUCCAAGGGUUGUUCUGUUUGCAAGGCAUCUUCCAAAGUAUCUUCUAGAGCACCCUCUGCUCACACCCAAACGGAUGAUCAUUGCAGUGAAGAGAACAAACCGGACAGUCGAAUAUCGAACGACAACAUAGACAAGACAAAACAGAUAAGGGUAAGCUUAUGUAAAUUUAAUUAAUCAUUUCUAUAUAUUUUUCAAAACAUACACAUAAUCACAUACAUCAAUAUCUCAAUCAUGUAAUCAUCAUAUAAGAAUAACAAUAAAACCGAACGUAUACAUCACUCAAAUCAUCUCAUAUAAUAACCGAACAUAUAAAACAUUAUGACCGACCAUUAUGACUCUGUCCGGACUGUAGGAAUAUGUAGCUAUGGUUAUCCUUGCAUCUGUGGGUGGUAACCUGGAAUAAACCAUCAGUAUUACCGCAACAUGGAUAACCCUUGAGUUUGCCCACGAGGUUAGCCUGUUAAAACACCUUAGGUCAAGGUUGUACACACCGCCCAGGCUAGAGCCUCCUGCCAUUCUCACCACAUGGUCACUAGCGCUAGUGAGCAUUAGAAUAUCAGGACGAACACCAAUACAAAGUUGGCCAUAUUCUUACUUCACCAUCAAUCAAACAUAUGGUAUGAACCAUGUAUGCUCGCCGCUCUCUGCACUCAGUGUGGACCUGGCUAGCAUAACUCAUCAGACCGCCACCCGAGGUUAGUCCUAAAACGAUCACCUGGUCUUAUGAUCAUGGACCUCCUGCCAUUCACACGCAUGACUUUUCCUCCUCUAUAUGAGAAGGCAAAAUCACGAAAUAUCAGGAUAGAGCGGAACCUGAGCCUUAGCCACGGUCGUACUUUACCAAUAUAAGUCCAAUCAUGAGCUAUUCCUCCCUGGAAUACUCUUACUUAAAUCAAUACUACACAAGGUUAAGGAAAUGACCGGACGGUAAGACACAUAAAGGAAAUGGAGUACCAAGGAAAACUUAAUAGAUGACCGAACGGUCGGAUCGAAUUAAGAAAAACAACAUAGAAGAAGUUCUAGUAAGGGACCGAACGGUCAAGCAAGGAAGGAAACCGAGCGUUGUUUGAAGAUAAAGAAAAAUAAAUAAUUCAAGGAAAUGAAUGAACGUUCAACAAUAGGUUACCUUUAACAAGACCCAGUACUUUACAGUUUGGCUGAAUGCCUUAAUAUACAUAAACUAGAGUUCUUUUCAGUAAAACGAGUGUCAGUGCAAAACCGAACACUCUGUGAGGGAUCAAGUGUCAGUGUAAGACCGAUAAUAGAUAUUAUUAUAAACUGGACAUUUUUCCCAAGAAGGAUAAUUAACACCAAACCAAGUACUUAGUCUAUGACCAAAUAGUCAAACAUAAUAUCAUAUUUGUAAAACCGAACGCUGGGUUUAUGACCGAAUGUUCUUAAAAUGAGUAGUAAUUAUAAUACGAAAUCGAAUGCUUCAGAAGUUAAGUGUCAGUCUAAUACCAAACACUUGUAUGAUUGAACGUAUAGUUUAUGACCAGACGUUCUUAGAAUUCAAGCACUGGUAUAAGACUUAGCACUUUUAAUAAACAUUAUCAAUAUAGGCCGAACACUCAGUGUAUGACUGAACGUUCUAAAUAGUUAAUACGAGACCGAAUACUCAGUGUAUGACCAAGCACUUAGAGACCGGACGUUCAGUAUAGGACCGGACGUCCUUUAAUGGUUAAUUCCGAACGGAUAACCAAGCAAGAUAUUUAAGUUUCAACACAAAGGUACCAGAUCAAUUGUUUUAAGAGGAAACCGAACGGUCCUAAUGACCCUUCGAUUACAGAUUCAUAUUUUCACUAAGUUUUAUAACUUUAUGACAUAUUUCAUACAAAAAAUCAAACAUGCAUUUCUCAGCAACAAGAUCAUACAUUCAGCAAGCAUAACUCACAAAAUAUUGCAUACAAAAAUAAUCAUAAUUAAAUUUAUAAGCUUCCCUUACCUCUAUUUCCAGCUAGGCCUCUAAGGUUCCUUUAGCACUGACUACCUCUUCUAAUGUUCCCAAGGUCUAGAGUCAAAUUACAAGACAACCGAUUUUAGGGAAAUGGUUUAACAAUCACAUGCAAGCUUAAAGGGUGCUUGCAUGCAAGAAUACCAAUAAGCUUAAAUGGCCAGAAAACACUUACCGAUUCAUAACGGAAAUUGGACCGGUGCAAAGUGAAGGUCUUGACGACGAGAACAAUUAAUCUGAAAGUAAUCAGGUGAUCGGAGGAGGGGAAAGGGUUAGAAUUCUAGACAGGAGGCUGAAGGGUUUUAGAGAGAAGGAGGAGAAAAUGGAGUUCUGAAAUUUUGGAGAAGAAGAUCGCAUGUAGGGAAAAUGAUGUCAGAUUUAAAACUCCAGCUUUUAUAUCACCUCCAAAAACCAAACGGUCAAGUCUCAUGCUGCCACAUGUUUUCCACUUCCUGAAUUGCUGCACUCCAUGGGCUGCCACUUGGAUUCCACUUCCUGUACAUCUCACCUUUUUUGUUGCCGCACGGUUUCCAAUGAUUGAGAAAUUAAAUACACGUACAGAUUUUGUCUUCCACUGUCAUGGGAAGCUUGGAACGAUGUGACAUGUGUUUUCCACUAAGAUGGAGAAUUUAUGAGAUGUGACAUAGUGGUUUUUGAUUUAUCAACAAAUUAUAAACGUUAUUAUUGACAAACUUUAAUCAUAGAUAAUUUUCUUUUUUUGAUGAGACCAUAAACUUUUUCAUUUACUUCAAUCUUCCUAAGAUCAUAACAUUUGUUUUAGUCUUAAACUUACAUGUUAAUAUGAACACUAUUAAAAAAGUCUAAAUAAAUACAUAUAUAUAUAUAUAUAUAUAUAUAUAUAUAUAUAUAUAUAUAUAUAUAUAUAUAUAUAUAAUUGAUAUGUAUGUUUAAAAGUCUAAUAUAUGUUACUAUAGUAUAAAUGUCCUAGUAAAUAUUUUGAAUGAGUUUGAUGGUUAAGAAUUAUUUACAUGCUUAAUAAUAUAAAUAUAAAUGCACAAUUUCUUUAAAAACAUUAUUUUAUACAUGUGUUAGAAUGACAAACUAUAUUAAAAAAUAACUAGUAUGUUAGUUUUCAACUUUUACAUUAAUUUCAUAAAGAUCUUAAGGUUAAUACACACAUCACCACGAUGUGAUAGUAAAAGCAACAACAUCAAAGCAUUAAUAAUACGUUUUUAAAAUAAAAUAAACUUACAUGAAAAAAAUAAAAAAACCGUCUAAUUAGAAAAAAAAAAUGAUAAAAUAACAAAUUGUAUUAAAAAAAAUAUUAUGUUAACUCUUAUUUUUUUCCUUUAAUCUCAUUAUAACCCUAAACUCUUAUAUUUGCUUUAAUAUCUAGAUGACAAAAAAUAGGUCCAUAUAAAGACCAAUACAAAACUCACCAGGACAUUUUUAAAACAAAAUUAAAUCUACAUUAAAAAAAUUAUCUUUGUAAUGAAAUAGAGUGGCUACCACCAAAAUCUGAGUAAAUAUAUUACUUAAAGUAUUUAAAACAUAAUUAGAACAUUUUAUCUAACUUGUAUUAAAAAUAGAAUGAGCACUCAAGCAACUUAAUGAAAAAUAUUGCUACGAAAAUCAAGGUAAACAUAUAAAAAGUACGACCACAUAAUCAAAAUAAACUUGUUAUUAAUUGUAUUUAAAACAAAAUAAGGAUAUUUCAUUCAACUUAUAGUUAAAAUAGAGUAAACACAUAUAUAACCCAAUGAAAAAUACUGUCACAAAAAUCAAGGUAAAUGCACAAACCUUGCAACACAAAUGAUCAUGUAAAUAGAUUAUUGAGCAUAUAUUUAAAAUAAGAUGAAAAUAUAAGCAACUCAAAUGAAAAAUAUUACCAUAUAAAUUAAAAUAAACACACAAAUCUAUAAACACUAUAUCAGUAUUACAGAAAGAACCUUAGAAAAAUAUAAUAAGAUAAAACAGAAAGUAAUGAAGAAAAUUCAGCAAUGAUGUAAGCAUAUUUACAUUAGGAUAAGAAUAAUCCAAUAUUUUUUAUAAAUAUUAAAAGAACAAUAAAAUUUUAGUAUGACCUUGCACUCUCACACCUCAGUCUCUAACACACACAAAAGUAGGUUAAUAAAAAUACUAAUAAAAAAAUUACAAGUAACAACAACAAAUAUAGUCCAUAGCGUGCUAUGAUAAAAUUGAUGUAUAUGUUUUGAAGUUUGAGUGUAUUGUUAUAAUAUGAAAGCUCUAGUAAGUUUUUUAAAUGAGUUUCACAGUUACUAACUAUUUUAUAAACUUAACAAUGUAAAUAUAAAAUAUUCAUAUAUUGCAUAAAUUUAUAUCAAAUUAUUAUUUUACAUGAGUUGAAAUCACAAUUUGUAUUCAAACAUAGAUACUAUGUUAAGGUUUUACUUUUGCUUUAAUGUUACAAAUAUCUUUAAAUACAUGUUCUAUAGUAGAGAUUGUAUUGAAAAUAUACAAAUCUAUAAGAAAUAUAUGACUUAUUUAAGUUAUUCUUUUUAUUAUAUAUGAAUACACAUAUACUUAUAAACAAUAAGUAUAUAAAGUAAUAAAAAAAUCACAGUUCAUGAAAAAACCAAAUAACAAAUAUUAAUUAAUAAAUUAUAAAAAAUUAAGUAUUUAAUAAAAUAAAAUAUUUUAUUAGAGACUCGUAUUAAAAUAUUCAAACUUACCAAAUAUUUCAAACUUAUUUUUCUCGAAAUUAAAAGUGGAAUAUUUUAAAGUACAAAAGUAAUUGAUUUAGUAAGAAAAAUAUAUUAUUAAGAAUUUUAUUUUAAUUAUUAAUGUGAAGUUUACAAGUGUUGUUUAUCGAAUGGGGUUGUUGUGGGUGAGCGAGGAGGAACAGCAGCCUGUGUCUGCCUCACCAACCUACCUCGCACGACCCAUGUGGUUGGCGAGUAUAUUAAUUUUUAUAAUUAAGGUUUUUCUUUGAUUUUUCUUUUUUUAGUAAUACUUUAAAAGAUCAUUUGUAAGGGUAUUUAAAAGCAUUAUUCUAAAAUUAUACAAACAAAUCUCAAUGGGACAAAAACUGUUAUUUUUUUUUUAAAAGUGGAAGAAUGUAAUAUUGGAUUUUUAGUAAAUAUAAUAUCUUUAUCAGUAUCAUUUUCUACUUUGAGAAAUUUCCUUAUUCUAAAUUAUUUUACAAUAUUCAAAUAUAACGGAGUUUGAAUAAUAAAUAAGAAAAAAGAAAAGUGUAACGAUAAAUAAAUAAUUAUAUUGAAAAGAAUAAGAAAGGAGGAAGGGCAAGAGAAAAAGGGUGGGGGUUGUUUGGUUUGGUUCAUACUAGUUUGUGUGGGUAUCGUUAAGCUAGUGGCGAUCCGAUCCAGCUACAGUUACAGGUGCGGCUUCUUCUUCAUCUUCUUCUGCAUCGUCUUCCAGAUCUUUCUUUCAAUCCUCACACGCGCCUGCCUCUUACUUAGUUCUAGGGUCUUUGUUUCCGCCAUAGAUGUUUGUUCAUAUCUGCUUCUCGCGCAUUUUGUCGAUUAGUUUUUUAGUUUUUAAUGUAAAAAAAUGAAAUUAGUUGAUAGAUUACGACUUUUUGUGACUUUCUUGUUUCUGUUUGCUUGAUUGAAGAUCAAAUAAGCAAGAUGUUCGGUGUAAUAAAGCACAAGGUAUGACUUUUUUUCUGAUUGCAAUUGCAUUUCGCUGUGCUUUAUACGAUGAACACAACAGAACGCACACUCUUUUUUGCAGGCUCAGAGCAUUCGCCCUGCCUUCUCCGCUAUCAGACAUUUUUCUUCUGCCGCCAAAGAGGUUUGUAUUAUUGAUCUCAUCUAAUCUCUUAUCAGAUAUCAACCAAACCCGCCGUUUCUCUGAUUCACGUCUUUCGCUGCAGAUCACUGUUCGAGAGGCUCUCAACACCGCACUCGAUGAGGAAAUGUCAGCUGAUCCUAAAGUCUUCUUGAUGGGUGAAGAGGUCAUCCAUUUGUAUUCUAUUCUAUUCUCUCUUUCCUUUUUACAUUUUUUUUAAUGUUUUUUCGCCCUUGCCCUCUUGUGUUAAGUUUGGUCCUUCGUUUUCCUUCUGUUUAAGUGCAGGUUGGGGAAUAUCAGGGUGCAUACAAGGUUAGUUUACUUGUCUUGCCAACCUCUGGAUUUAACAAUUGGAUACCAUUACUUAUUACCUCUUAACAUUCUUUCUUCUUUCAUUCUAGAUAUCCAAGGGGCUGCUCGAGAAGUAUGGCCCUGAGAGGGUUCUCGAUACCCCAAUCACUGAGGUCAUUUUCCUUGCGCACAUUUCGUAUCUCUUUCAUACUUCAUACUUAUCCACCCAUUUGGUUUGCAACUUAUUUACCAUCUCCUUCCGUCUCUCCCUUACAUUCGUUACACCGCUUCACUGUAUGUACUUUUAGGUAACAAUGGUUGCAAACUGGUACACAUUUGGUACUUCUUGAGGCUCUAACCCUAUCCCAGUUUUAGUGUCUAUUAGAUAUAGUACCAUUCAAGAAAGAAAAAAAAUUUCGCAUUGAGAAAUUCAUAAGUAUUCAAUUUUUGGUUAAAAACCUAUAUUUGAUUAUAAAACAAAUGAUGAACUCAAACUAUACAUUAAGUAGACCCUUUAAUGUUAUUUGUUGCUAUUCUUCAUUUUCUGAAUUAGCAAGAUGCUGGCAUGACUAACCCAAGCACAAUGCUAUGAGUUAGAGUUUGCGAUAAAGCACACGUGUUUCACCUUGAAUCUUCUCCAAAUGAAUUUUGUAAUAUUUUGGCAUGUAACCACUUCUGAAUUUCUCUCUGAACUUGCCAAGGUCCAACUUUAAUAUGUCGAAAGAGUCAUUAAUGGAAUCAACCUAUAAAAUAAACAAAUUGAAGCUUUAAUAAUAUGAUGGCUUCGGGAUUCAUUCGUUGGAAUUAGAAUGGAAUGUUAUUUUUGGGUUUUGUGUUCUUCAUGUGUGCCACUUUUCACUUUUUGUUACAGAUUGCUUAUUGAACAUAAAAAUUAAUCUUUUCAGCUCCUCGCUGUAACAUUGUAAUCUAAUAUCCGUGUUUGAAUAAUGUUUUCAAUACCAUGGUUGGCUCUCCAUCUUAAAAAUGAGAUUAACAGACUGACUUUUAUGAAUUGAACUUAACUGCCUAUCCCUGGCCAAAAAAGAACAGGACUUAUACACAGUUGCAUAUGUUGGAUUUACAUAAUCUUUUGUGAAAUAUAAUACAGGCUGGGUUUGCUGGUAUUGGAGUUGGUGCUGCUUACUAUGGUCUAAGGCCUGUUGUGGAGUUUAUGACUUUUAACUUCUCCAUGCAGGUAGGAUUAUAUCUUUAUUGCAUAAUUUCUUUGUUAAAUUUAGUGUGGAGUUAAGUGUCACAUUUCUUACAGAGUCAGCACUUAGUUUAUGCAAGUUUGUGUGUAUUAAAGUUAUGUGAACCUGGCUGUAAGUGAAGAUGAUUAGAUAACAUUGUAUGAGUUUUCUCUUUAGUGAUAGGAAUAACUGACUUGAGUUUUUCAAUACAUGAUGAUUGAUUCCUCAAGGAUAAAUGUCGACUUGCCUGUAAGGCUGUGUUAAUAAUCAGGAUAUAGGUGUGCCUACCCAACUCAAAAAUGCUUUGCACAAGAGUAUAUAAGAUAAAUGAUAUAAUUAAUUUCUAUUAGACAUAUAAAUGCUCAAAAAAUAAAAAUUACUCUGUAAAAAGCAUUGUCAUCAUUCAUAAAUAGAAGUCAUGAUGAUAGUCCAAAAUAUUAUCAUCAUUUUCUUAGGCAUAACUUUUAAUAAUUAAUAAGUUAUUGGCAACAAAGGAUCUUAAGGACGAAAAGAGUAUCGUGCCAAACCUUGACAAAUUUGAGCCUCUGAUGUGUUGGAGGGAUGACAUCAUGUGGGUUCUGAAGUGCAAACUAGUCAACACAAAAAGGAGAGAACAUCAAAGCAAAAAUGAGUUGUCCAAGUGUGCACCGAGGUGACAGGAAUGGAUAAUACUCAACACCAGCAGUUUGCUGGAAAACAACAGCAAACAAUGGAUAAUAGCCAAUCUCAAACUAGAGGGGGCGGGGAUGUGAAAACAAUGCCUGCUAGUAAAUGGCAUACAAUUUGAGGAGUCACAUGACAAAUCACCAAUAGUGAUCAAGAUUUUACAUGCUCUGGGCUUGUGAUUGUUGCUUUAUGAAAACCUGAAGUGAUUCUCUGUGCAUUGCAGGGAUGACAUACUUAAUGUUUUUAAUAUUCUGUGUCUGACUACCCUGUUAAAGAUAUAAACCUAAGGAUUUGUUGUUGGGCAAAGCUGCCGAUCUCAGUAUACAAAAGAGGGAUUCAAUUUAUUGUUAACAGUGGCAAUCAUAUUUGACUUUAAAAAUAAAGCAAUUCUGUAGUGUUUUAAAUAAUAGUUUGAACAUCACAUCAAUGCCAUACAAAUCAAUUUAGUUUAUUAGAUGACAGGCUUUUUUGCUGCAAAUUGGUUACUUGACAAUACUCUGCGUGAAGUAGGGCCUUGUGUUUGCAAUCUUAAUGUUGGCCGCUGGUAGCUUGAAUAUUGAAUACUAAUAAAUUCAAGUGAAUAUUGUAUCAACAUGUGUAAUUAUGCUUAGUUUUUAGCUUCAUUUGUCUGGUAUCCAGCUGUGUCAUCUUUGGUUUGUUAGCUUGCUGAUUAAUUAUUUAACUUCUAUCCACUCAUUGAAUUUUAACUAUUGUUGCAGGCAAUAGACCAUAUUAUUAAUUCUGCCGCAAAAUCCAAUUACAUGUCUGCUGGGCAAAUAUCUGUACCUAUUGUUUUUAGAGGACCCAAUGGUGCUGCCGCUGGGGUUGGUGCCCAGCAUUCUCAAGUAUGGUUCUCAAAGCUGCUUUCUUUUAUGUACAAACUUUAUUUCACUAUUUCGUUAAAUUCUGCCUUGAAUUUACUCUGCUUUAGAGGUGUGGAGAACUGAUAAAUACUUCAGAUUUCAUCUAUGUAUCUACAACUUUGCUUUUAUGCAGUGUUAUGCAUCUUGGUAUGCUUCAUGCCCUGGGUUGAAAGUCCUGUCUCCGUAUUCAUCUGAAGAUGCACGUGGUUUGCUUAAAGCUGCUAUAAGGGACCCCGAUCCUGUUGUUUUUCUUGAAAAUGAGUUACUGUAAGUUUUGCUGCUUUAUUCUCACCCACACACAACCCCCUGCCCGAGAAAUAAGUUGCCAUAGUUUUAACACCAGUUAUUAUUAUUAUUAUUCCGAAAAAUAUUUAAUUUGUACACUAUGUCCCCUAGAUAUGGUGAGUCAUUCCCUGUUUCGGCUGAAGCUCUUGAUUCCAGUUUUUGCCUUCCCAUAGGAAAAGCAAAGGUAGUUAAUUAUCUGUAGUGUACGAAUCCUUGUUUCUAGAGCCAUAUUUAGUUAUUUACUACACAAUAAUGCAUUCUCACUGAAUCCAUGUUUGCUUCACGCAUUUUAUCACUAACAGAUUGAGAGGGAAGGAAAAGAUGUAACUAUUACAGCUUAUUCAAAAAUGGUUGGCUAUGCUCUCAAGGUUUGUUUACCGUGAGAUCCUUUUGUGGUGUAGAUAUGAAUAUUUUGCUGUUCUAAAAAGUUAAAAAUCUCUAACCCCUUCUGUACUACCAAAGUAGACAACAUUCUUAAAUAUCUCUUGGUGUUUUAGGCUGCUGAGACACUGGCUAAAGAAGGAAUCAGUGCCGAGGUAAGAUUUGCAAGAGUUAGUAAUGAACUUUCCCCUCUUUCUCCAAAACUUCAUUUGGGUUAUGAUAAUGGUUAAUGACGUUUAUCCACAUAGGUUAUUAAUUUGCGUUCAAUCCGACCAUUGGAUCGAUCAACAAUUAAUGCUUCUGUCAGGAAAACCAACAGGCUAGUGACAGUUGAAGAAGGGUUUCCUCAGCAUGGUGUUGGGGCUGAAAUCUGGUUUGUCUCUUUGCAUUGACUUUCUCUGUAUCUUUCUGGUUAAAUUUUGCCAAUUAUGUGAGUGUAUACUUCUCUUGAGCAGCACAUCUGUCAUUGAGGAGAGUUUUGGUUAUCUUGACGCACCUGUUGAGAGAAUUGCUGGGGCUGAUGUUCCUAUGCCAUACGCAGCUAACCUGGAGAGAUUGGCUGUUCCACAGGUAAUGAUUGUAGAAUAUUAUGUGUUUGUUCUGAAUAUGUCAACUUGUUUUGGAAGAUUUGUUAUCUUUAUUUUGAUCCAGAAAUGUACUUUUAUUUUGAAUGGGAGUAGUGAUAGCCUGGACAUGAUGGUCUUGUGUGACACGAGUAUUGAUGCUAAUUUGUUCAAGGUUUUGGUACAAGUGUAUUGAGAAUUUAAAUCUGAUUGUUUUCUGGUAUAUGUGGAUGGACAGAUUGAAGAUAUUGUUCGAGCUGCGAAGAGAGCAUGCCACAGAUCGGUGCCUUUGGCUGCAGCUGCUUGAAAGUUCUGGAAAACUUUCAUGUCCUGAUUAGUUCUUUGGUAAUCCUUGAUGUACCAAAAACAAUUUUCCCCCAAAUUUCCACCAUAAAACAGCAGGAAGAAAUUACAACCAAAGAAUGCUGGUUUUAACUCGUGGGUUAUGCUGGGCUUUGGUUAAAAAAUUCUGUUGUAUAUUCCUAAUUUUCAGGACUCACAGAUGCCAUACAUUUUUUUCCCCAUUCUCAGCCAGCAUAUAUAUGGGAGGAAGUUAAGUUUAAUAACUUGGAAAACAAUAACACAGGGCGGAAGUCUUCUGUGCUUUGGUUUCUGAUUGGCAAUAACUAAGUAGUCAAUUUUUUGAAUACAUUAUCGAGUUUCUUUCCAGUGGGCCAGUUCUAUGCAAGAUCUAGCUUACUUAUUUAAUUCAAUCCCAUUUACUGUUUGUUACUUGGCAGGCUAGAGAUAUUUGAUUUGAUACGAGGUCCGUAUCCUCGGGGAGAAUAAGGCUAUGGGUACUUGGUGUUGUGGAUUGUGCUUGGUCUUAGUCACCGUGAACUCCCUAAAAUUACUUAUAUAACUUCGGUUAGCAAUACCCACGAAAUCAUAUUGUCUCCUGUUAAUGUCAGUCGAAGAAAUUUCUCCAUUUGCUUAAACGAGUUUAACUUUUAUCUAUGGGGAAAUUUCACCGUGAAUCAUGUGUUGAGAAAGCACUUGGACGUUGAUUUUUGAUAUAAUUGUUUGUCAACUUCAUUUAGUAUCAUGUCAAUGUAUUAACAAAGAUAAUUUGGCAAAUUUGAUGUCGUAAACCUAAUUAUAUGCUCUAAAUUAUGUUACUGACAAUAGUAAAUCAUAUUUGAGAGGUCGUUUUGAAGGACAAAAGAUUGUGUUGAUUUUGUAAGUCGUACAAAAUAUUAUAUAAUUGGAUAAAUAUUUAAAAUGGAAGGAAAGUAUAUUAAUACUUUGUUUUUUUUUUGUUUGUUAAGUUAUUUUCUGAAUUUGAAAAUGAAAUGUUUUCUUUCCUUUUAUUUUCAUCCAUAACUUUUCAGUUUUAUUUUGUUUGCUGUUUUGACAUGAUAAAAUGUUCAGUUCUUAUUUUUGCUUUACUAGAAUAUUAAUGCUGUAUGUGAGUAUGAAAUCGUUAUUUCGAACACAAAUUCUGCUUUUCUUAGCCCUUAACUUGAAAAAAGUAGUUUCAAAUAUAAACGCUCGGAUCCUUAAGACCUCAACUAACAUUUGUUUUAUUAUAUUAAAUAAUCUUAAAUCAUUUAAGAGUUUGCAUGAAUGAUCAUUUAAAUAUAUUUUUUCUUUUAACUUUUUUAUGUAUUUAAAGACAUGACGAUAAAAGAAUUUUAAAAUUUAAAGUGAAGAAUACAUCAAUUCACAUAUGCUGAUUGUAAUGUAUGUAAUUAGGUUCACAACAAAAAUUUAAGGUGGAUGAUAUGGUCAUAAAAAUCUUUCAUAAAUUCCAAAAUAUGUUAUCUUAGUUCAUUUUGCAUGUUAUUUGUUUCCAAUACUUUUUUAGAACAAAAUCUCAGAAAGCACAAAAUUUCCUGAAAGUAAAAUUGGGGAAUUAUAAAUAAAAUCUGAUUAGAAAAUAGCCGAGAAUUACAUGCAAAAUAUGCUCUGAAAUGUAAACCAUUAUUUUCUAUAUAUGAAGUUGACUUUACUUUCGCAAAGCAAGCUAUGAUAUCAAAUUCGAUUACAUUAUUCUUGGAGUGGAGUUAAAAUGUGAUAAAUAGUUGAUUUUGCAGACAAAUGGUAUUUUAGAAGCUUCGGUAUCCCUUUUUAUAUCUUCUGUGUCCGAAGUAUUUUAAUUUUAAAAAAGUGUCUUUGUUUUAGUUAGGGAGCAUAAUUUUUGAAAAUAGUUUGGCAGUUAUUUUAAAAGUCAAAGUCGAAAAGCUUACAUUUUGUAUUGAUUCUUGUUUGGAGAAAAAAGAAAUCGAAAAAUUUGUAUGCAUGGAAGGUGUGGCCUUGACUUUUGACAAGUGAACGAAAGUAUUUUUAGUGAAUAGUUUUAUAGUAUAAUUCAAUGAUUAGAAGCAGAGAAUUGAGAGAGGGAGGAAGAAGAAGUGAUGAUAGGAGAAGGUUAGGGAUAAUAGUAAUGGUAAAUAGAAAUACAAUAUUAUUAAAAAUAAAUAAUAGUAGUAAUUAUAAUAAUAAUAAUAAUAGAAAUAAUGAAAGGUUGGGGGUGGUGGAAUUUGCGUGGGAGGAGUUGGUGGCGUAAGCAGAGGAAGCGGUUGAAGAAAGAAAUGGUCUGAUUGGGAUGGGGAAGGGGAUUUGACCACCUCCUCGUUGUCGUUGUUGGCGGCGAUUUCCAUUUGCUAUUCUUCACUCUAAUCCUUCAUUGUUACGAACAAACAAAGCAAAAGUUAUUAGAACAAACGAUUGCAAGACAUCGAUGAAGAGCUCUCUGAAGAAAUUGCGAGGUCUGGCGCUUCACAAUCACAACCACAACCGCACUCGCAAGGAUGACUCCUCCAACUCCAUUCAGCCUUUGGGCCAGCUUGACGAGCUUGCUCGGGCCACCCAGGCACGCACGCCUCCACAUUCGCAUUUCUCUUUCCAUCUCUGUUUCUUCAACAUAUCCUACCCUAUCAUACAAUACAUCUCUACUUUUAGGGUUUGACGGAUGGAAUUGAUUUGGAAUUGCUCUUCAGGAUAUGCAAGACAUGAGGGACUGCUAUGACACCUUGCUUUCCGCCGCUGCUGCAACCGCCAGCAGUGCCUAUGGUAGGGUUGGGACGUUGGAAUAUCGUUCAUUCAUUCUUUCUUUCUUUUCUUCAUCCUUUCAUGCUUUUCAUAUCGUCUAUUAUUCUCUUCUUACAGAAUUCUCUGAGUCCUUGCGAGACAUGGGCUCUUGUCUCCUCGAGAAGACCGCUUUAAAUGACCACGCAGAUGAAACUGGCACUCUACUCUUCUUUUACUUCUUCUUCUUCCACUUCUGCACGCACUUCAUCACCUUUUUCAUUUUUUCUCUUCCCUAACCCCUUCCGUUGUUCUUUUCCAUUCUGUUAUUGCAGGAAAACUUCUCCUCACGCUUGGCAAAAUUCAGUUCAAACUCCACAAACUAAUUGAUGACUACGUCACUUCCUAAUCUUUUCUCUAUUUCCAUUUUAUCUUUACUAAUUAUUUUCUAUGCUUUUCAUCACUCUUUUCUUUCCCUUUCCAGCGUUCUCAUAUAAUCCAGACAAUUACCGUUCCCUCGGAAUCUCUCUUGAAUGAACUUCGAAUUGUUGAGGUUUCUAAUUCUAAUCUUUUUUAUAUCUCUAUCUAUUGCUCUUACAUAAACCUAGUCAUGCAUCACUCUCCUUCAACUUUCAGAUUCAACUUUUUCUUAUUGCAGUAACCUGAGAAUACCUUUAUUUUUAUAUUCUACAUGGAUGACCUUUUUUUAAUUUUAAUCAUUUUUUUUCUUUUUGUUUUAAUACUGGACCAGGAGAUGAAGCGGCAAUGUGAUGAGAAAAGGUUUGAAAUGAUGUUUUUGAUCUGGUAUUAUCUUUGACUGUCACACUGAUAUACUUCUUGUUGUUGUGUCAUAUGAUAUGCAGAGACGUAUAUGACUAUAUGGUAGCAAGAUACAGAGAAGGAGGCAGGUCUAAAGGCGGGAAAGGGGAAACUUUUUCUUUGCAGCAGUUGCAAACUGCUCAUGAUGAAUAUGAUGAAGAGGCUACUUUGUUUGUUUUCCGAUUGAAAUCUCUGAAGCAAGGACAAUCGCGUAGUCUUCUAACACAGGCAACGCGUCACCAUGCUUCUCAGGUUCUUCACAUUCCCCUGUUUCCUUGUAAGAAUUGGAGUUUCCUUUUUUUUUUUUUUAUAUUAUUACCAUUGCUUUCUUUUGUGCCCAAACAGUUGUGUUUUUUCAAGAAAGCAGUCAAGUCCCUUGAGACAGUAGAACCACAUGUAAAAUCUGUAACUGAACAGCAGCACAUUGAUUACCAGUUCAGUGGUCUUGAAGAGGAGGAUGGGUAUGAAGGUGACGAUGGAGAUGAUGGUGGUGGUGGUUAUGAUGACAAUGAUGAUGGUGAGCUGAGUUUUGACUAUGGACAAACUGAACAAGACCGAGAUGUUUCUACGUCACGAAACUCCAUGGAGGUGACUACCUUAAGUAACUAGGAUCUUCAAUUUUUUUCUUCUCUUAUAUGUUUUGAAUUUAUUUAGAAAUGGUUGUCUAGUGAAGGCUGGAAAAUUACAUCUACUAACACGCAAAAGGGAACAGGUGAAUGAUUAUGCACUCAUGUGGUGGUCGUUGAAGGGUUUGAAUCCUACUGCAUGCUGUAUAUGUGUGAAAUCAAAAUUAAUGAGUGAAUGACUACAUUCGUGGAGAGAGAUUAUGUUGUGGGAAAAGUUGUUUUUACGGUCUUAAGCUCAAAAGUUUUGCAUAUUUGUUUAUUUAAUUGUGACUAACUGCUCUAUGCACACGAGUAAUACAGUUUAAUUAGAAUGCCGCUAGAUGGACGAUUGAGCAAGAACCUCUUCAAGUAAACUACGGGUUUUUAACUUCUUUGAUUAAUGCAUGAAAAUGCUAUGGAAGUUUUCAGUAAUGAACUUCUGAUUUUGAAGAUUUUGGUUCUGAACAAUAUAUAUAGUUUUAGUUUUCAAAGUUUAUAAAACACUACAAUUAGCUUAUAUUACUCAUCUUGAUGACAUGGUGCUUAUCCGUGUUCACCUCUUUUCAGCUGGAUCAAGUGGAAGUUACAGCUCCUGGAGGUUUUACAUCCGAAACUGCCAAGGUAAAAAAGACAUCUAUUAUCUUCAGUUUUAUUUUUGAGCCUCUAAAUUUGAAGUACGUAAGGGCAUGCACAAUGAAUCUUUUGCUCUGUUUGCAGGAAAACUUAGACAAACUUCAAAGGAAUUUGUUUUCCUUUAGGGUUAGGACAGGGAGCCAAUCUGCCCCGCUUUUUGCUGAUAAACCUGAUGCAAUUGAAAAACUGAGGCAGAUGCGCCCAUCUUUAUCUCGGAAGUUUAGUUCAUAUGUGCUACCCACACCCGUUGAUGCUAAGAGUUCAAUCUCUUCAAGUUCAAAUAAUCCAAAACCAUCCAAAGUGCAGGCAAAUCUAAGUGAACCUACAAAGAACUUGUGGCAUUCAUCCCCCUUAGAACAAAAGAAACAUGAAAAAGAUAGCGGUGAUGAAUUUUCUGGUUCUAUUGUCAGAAGUGCUCAGUCGGUACACAAGGAAAGUAACAGUAAUACUGCCUCCACGAGAUUGCCUCUUCCUCUAGCAGAUAAUCUUUUAUCCUCGAACCGUGAUUACAUUUCCGCUCACUCUAAAAAGAUUAAAAGAUAUGCCUUUUCUGGCCCAUUGACAAGUAAUCCUGGGCCUACCAGGCCGGUUUUGUUAGAAAGUGUUCAACUGUUCUCUGGACCUCUUUUGCCAAGUUCAAUCCCUCAGCCUCGGUCAUCAUCUCCAAAAGUAUCUCCCACUGCUUCUCCCACUCUAGUGUCUUCACCCAAAAUAAGUGAGCUUCAUGAACUUCCUAGGCCUCCAACCAAUUUCCCAUCCAAUUCAAGGCUUUUAGGUUUGGUGGGUCAUUCUGGUCCUUUGUUGUCUGGAGGUCAAAAGGUUUCCUCUGCAAAUAAUUUGGCUGCAUCAACUGCUGCAUCUCCAUUACCAAUGCCACCUCAGGCCAUGGCUCGUAGUUUCUCCAUACCUUCUAGUGGGGCUAGAGUUGCAGCAUUACAUGUUCCUAGAACUCUAGAUUCUUCUCAUGGAUCAUCUAUAUCUGAGACUAUUGCUUCUCCUCUGAUACCACUAGCAUUAUCUAGUAGUCAGCCAUCAUCAGAUUGCUGAGGCUGUUGUCUAGAUAUUUAGACCAGAGGUAUUUUUUUAAACCAGGGCCUUUUGUUUACUUUUUUCUUCUUUUUUUCUAUUAUUUUUGUUUUCCUGGAUUUAUUUGAACUUUUUUUUAACUGUGAAAUUUAGACAACGUAGAAAGUGUUGAAAUUUCAUUUAUAGAUGGCAAAACCUCUGUCUACAUUUGCCUGGUUUGGAAUGGGAUAAAAUGGAGAUGGUUAGUACGUACUUCUAUGACAUCAAGAACCUGUAAGAGCCUGUGUAUAGGACACCUAUUAUUGAGCGAGUUCUAUCUUCAAAGUUCUUGCAAUAUAUAAAUGAUUUCCGAUUCCCCCUUGUGGAAUACAAUUGUCAAAUGAAAAAUAUCUAAUACUUUUUAUUGUAUCUUUAGUGUAAUUUGGAGUAUGUGAGUUUAUCACUUUAGACUUAAUUAAUUAGGAUUAUGAUAAAAUAUUAGGAUAAAUAAGGGUUAGUGCUCUAUGUAUUGCGAUUGCAACAUGAUAUUUCAUAUCAUAUGAAGUCAAUUCUAAUGUCAUAAUGUUCGGUUUUUAUUCUCUCCUUUUCCUCCGGCAAUACCUUAAUCUCUCUUAGCUACUCCCAUUCUUCUAAUAAAGUGUCGAAUUUAAUCACAAGGCAUGUGGACCUAUGUACUAUCCAUGCUACCCAAAGGGCAUUUGGGUGAAGGGAUGCGUUCUAAAUUUUGUUUUCAUCUAACCGUUUAAACUUUUGGAAUAGUUUGGCAUAUGACAAAAUAAACUAUGUAAUCUUCAUACAAAAUACUCUACUGGAAAUGCACGUUGGGAUAGAGAAUAUUUUUGGUGCAAGCAUCAUCUAUUUUAAAUGGACUUAACAUUUUAUUAUGUACAAGUACUUUACAAUGAGGUCACACAUGCAGAAACUCACUUCAUAGCUAUUUUUUUCAUCUUCUCCUUAAAAUAGCAGUGCAAUAGGUGGAAGUGUUUAUAAUUGAUGGGAUGAAUAAUUUACGACAUGAUAGGCCAGUUUUUAUAAUACAUUGGAGAAAUUUAAAUUCCAAACUAAUUGAUAUUACCAUUGUGAGAUUUAGAAAUUGCUUUAUUAUUGUUCCUUCUUCCUACUACCAAUACUGUUAGAAAGUUUAGUUUAACUUACAUAUGAUUUAAUUUUCAUUUUCUAUUUUUCAGGGAUGUGUAUGUGCAUGUUUUGUCUAAUGUUAUGCGAUGAACCCAGGUAUAGUCAAUGGAUACUUGUGCAGACUAAUUCUACUUACGUUUGAAGUUAGCCUUUACGGCCUGGCAAAUGAAGCUUAGGGCCAAGAAAACUUAGGUUAAAUUUUGCUUAGUUGCAAAGAUGUAUAUAUUCGUUUUACCUAAUAUUCGUUUGUCUGUCAUAAUCAUUGUUAUUUCAACCUUAUGGGCUUUUUGUUUUCUUAUUUCGAAAUAAAUGCCCAUUGGCUUUAUUGUUGAGAUAUGCAUUUAUGCAAUGACGGUAGCCAAUCAAUCACGCCUCCCCUUUACGAGCAAUCCAACUGUGUAAUUAAGCUGUGUACCUUUCAGUAAGUGCAAUUUGCUUUCAUAUGUUUUCUUAACUAAACAUUUCUAUGAACACAUGAAAUCAAUUCUCGGAGAAUUCGAUUCAUUUCUGGAUUGGCAUUCAUAAAUCAUGCUUUUGAUUUGUCUGCAAUCUGGUGGAGCAGGACGAGAAGAGAGAAUAGAAUUCAUGUAAUGUAACAAUGUCGCUUUUGUUGUUGAACCAUUAUUUGGUUAAUAAAACGUUCACGUUGCAAUAAUAAAAAAGGGAGAAGUGAAGUGGACCUUCGUGCAAUUAUGCUCUAGCAGGUGUGAAACCACUCUAGAAGUUGCUAAUCACUAGCUAGGUACCGUGGCAUUUUCUAUGAACUGGUAGAGUUGGUUUAAGUCAGACAAAUGGGUACUCUUGUUGUGGACUUAUUGGGGUAAUUUUGUUUAGAACAUGUAUGCCAAAUCCAAAUACCCAAAUUUAACCGGCUUCUGUCAUUAUCAUUAUAAUUAAUCUAUAUCUAUCUAUAUAUUACAAAUGGACAUCACAAACCAUCCGUACUAUCUGUACAGAUUUGGAAACCAAGAAAAGAAUUGCCGAUGUCCUAAUUCGAAUGCAAUGCAUAAUAUUGGUAAUUUGGAACGGUGCAAGGAAAAUAGACAUUUCCGAUGUGCGCUGUUUGGACGAUAGAGAUUGGCUUCCUCCUCGUUAUUUGGUAGAUAUAGUCUUUCAUUUGCAGCUUUCUCCAGUAUCAUAUCUGACGAAUCCCAUUAAUUCUGGUCCUUUAAGUCUUGUGUUAUUCUUGAAACUGCAGGAAUAUAAACUAUUAGCUCAUGCUCUCACACAUUGAAAUCAACUACUCGAGCAUGGAUCUAGAGGUAAGAGAAGCAUGAAAUCAUAACAGGGGAAUGUCAUUAUCAAUGUUAUAUAAGUAAUAGCUAAAUUCUACAAAUGAUCAGCAUCGAAAAGUAAAAAGUAAAUUAUAAUCGCCAUUUUCCUAUUUUGGUGGUAUUUAUAUAAUUUCUUGUCACCAAUGAUUUGAGUUCAAGUCAUCUGUUAUUAUUACUGUUAUCACCCAGCAGAUAUAGCGGCUUAAACUUAUUUACAGAAUCUAUGACAAAAUUUGUGCAAGUAGUAACGAAGUCGACCUUGUGAAGUACUCAGAUUAAUAAGUUUUAGAUGGACUCACCUUUGUUCAGAGAACUUGGAAAAAGAGCCGGAUGUAGGGAAAGUACCACACAGAUCAUUAUUUGAUAGGUCUCUGCAUAACAUAAGAAAAACGAAUUUAAACGUGAGAAAUUAGAAUUGACGGAGAAGAAUGAAAAGAGGUGUGAUAUUGAAAAGUGUAGGACAGAGAGACUCACAAGAUCUUGAGGUUUUCCAACUUAGUGAGUUCCCUCGGUAUUCUUCCAGUGAGCAUGUUGCUGUUGAGCCGCCUGUAAUAUUGUAUCAUAAAAGGCUUAGGCUUGAUGAACGGUCCACUUGCUAUUUAUUUUAAUUAACUUACAAGAAUUUGAUGUGGGAGAGGUUGGACAGGCUGGCGGGAAUGGAGCCAGUGAGGUUAUUCUGGUAGAGACCCAAGCUAACCAGGUUCUUGAGGUCUCCAAGUUCCUUUGGUAUUGGACCCUUCAAAUCAUUUUUGUACAGUUCUCUGCACAUUGGCAAACCAAAUCUUACGUUCUGUUUUUGCAUAACACAUUCAAAAAGGAACUUUGGAGAAAUAAACCCUCAUAUUUGAUCUUUAGUGAUGUCUGUCAGACAUUUUCAGAAAAUAGAUAAAUGCAAACUUCGCUACGGGGCUUACAGAAACUGAAGGCGCUGGAGCCUCCCUAGUUCUGGAACCAAAUGACCAGACAGUUUUGCGUGUCCGAGGUCCCUGCAUGAGUACGCAAUUAUCAGACUUAACCCAACCCAGUGAAAUAAUCAACACUUAUCAAACAAACAUGUUACAAAGAAUACAUAAUAAAAUAAAAAUACAAAGAAUAUAUUCCAAAUAAAAACGUGAGAAAAUGUAAAGACAAGAUGGAGUUAAUUACAGUCGGGUUACUCUCUUAUCAUCAUCACAGGUAACAUGGAACCAUGUACAAGGAUCCACCAAAGUUGGAUCCCAGCUCUGCAGAACGUUAUUUGGGUCUUUCACAGCUCUUCUGAACGCGAACAGAGCAUCACCUGUUCGUUUUCAAGUUCAAAAAAGCAGAAUAUACUAUUGUGACAAGAUUCUUCAAAAUUUGUGGCUGGAUACAUAUGGAACGCAUAUAUACAAAAGGGUGGGUUUACCUUCAGAGUUUGCAUUUAUAACAGCAAAAGGGUCUGAUAGGAGAAGAAAAAUGGCAAGAACGUAAAAAGGUACCCUCAUGCUCCUCUCCAUGAAGUAGCAGCCCUGAAAGUUGGUAGAGAGAGACUUAACUGGAGUAGAGAUUUUAGAGCCUCACCCCUCACACCGGCUGACACCAAUAGAUGGUUCUAUUUGUAGUCGAAGUGCGCCUAAUAGUAAUAAUACUAAUAACAAAAACAUGUAAUAGAGACCAAAUCUUCCUCUUUCUUUAAUGCAAUUAUGCUUUUGGAAUGGAAUCACAGAUAUAUGGAGAAUUUUAUAGUGCCCGUAAAUGGAUAUGAGAUGCUACCUCUUUAGUUUGUCUAUUCACACUCAACUAGUAAUGUAGUCGUACGUGUAAAUAUCAUUACUCUUUUUCAAAAGAUAAUUAAAAUUGUUAUUCUCGAUAUAUUUAGUUAGGUCAAAGUCUAUAUACACUAUUUGAAUUUUUAGUAAGGAAAAUAUUUACGUGCAUUUAAAAGUGAGAUAUGUUCAUUAUUAUUAUUUUUGUAAUUUAAAGGAGCAUUUCUGGAAUGCAUGUAUACGAGAAAAGGAUUAAAAAAAAUACGAUAAAGGUAAAGAUAAACUGUACGAUAUCAAUUAGAUUAUUCAGUAUUCAAGCAAUAGAGCCUAAGGCUAUCGCAGUAGCAAUACAAAGAAUGUUUUACGCAAUUACACAGACUAAACUAAAUCGUUGUUCUUCCUCUUGUGUGCUUGUAUUUGAAAACAAAAUAAACAAAAAUGUAUACUUUAGAUUCGAUGAUGGAUGGUGUGAUUUCAAAGAAGGAGAAUAAUUAUUCAUUCUGUUUUCUUUUAUUAGAAAAAAUUAUCUCUGACACAAAGCAGCAAGGAAUAUUAAUAAUGGUAUUGAAAACUGUAAGUAAUAAAAUGAUAAAGAUGAUAAAGUUAAAUUGGUUUUUGAUUAGUCAACCAUGAUGGCAAAUUAGUUAACUGGAAGCAUCAUAGUAAGCUUUGUGAUUGGACACGUAAAAGUAAGGCACUAGCUAGGAAUGAAGAAAGUGAAUAGAAAGAUUAUAGAUGCAAAUGAAAUACUCGUCUUUUAAUGCAUUUUAUGUUAAUGGGUCCAAAUCCAACACUAUAGUUUUGACUUGGGACGGCUCAAUGGGUUGAAUUGGUUGACAGCAUGGUUUGUUCUGUUUGAAGUUACUGUACUUUGUAUCUUCUUUUUUGAUAGUGGGAGGGACACAAAAGCAUGAAAGAGUUCCUUUGUGUGAUCUUAGACAGAUAAUGCAAUGAUCUCCUCAUUAAAAGAAGUGACUUGGAGAUUUCAGACUUAGACCGCAUCAUGUUAACUCCUUUUCAUUCUCACACUCACCAACCAUAAGCUUGGGAAAAAGUUAUUAUAGUAUUACUGUACGAAACAAAAAGCCCUCUCUACUUAGUCUCUCUUUCUUCGGCCAAACGAUAAAAGCUUUCCAUACGCAUAAUUAUGGUUGAGUGUAUAAUCAACACCUCACGUGUAAAAGAAAUUAUAAUGGUCUUUUGACCAUUGACCACCACAUUUAGAAAGAUGUAAUAUUAUGCCCCACCAAUUUUCUUUUUAUGCUCAAGAAAGGGGAAAGGGAGGGAACAAAAUUUUGAACUAGAAAGUAAUUAAAACCUUUAUUCUGUAAUAUUAUGUAAGUUAAUGACAGAAUGAUACAUUUUUACAUUCUUUUGAUAUAUAUUAUAAGGAUAAAAUGGUGAUAAAUGAAUGAAUUUUUAUAUUUUUUUCAUGGAAAAAGAGAUUAAAAAGUAAAAAAAAAAUAAUAUCAAAUGAAUUAUUUUUCUAUUAUGUACUGUGAACAUUUGGUUAGGAGUAACAAAGGAAGAUUGUUAAUAUUGAUUUUAGGAUGCAAAAGUAUUAGAAAAGUGAUACUUUUACACAUAAAUUUUUUAUUAUUUUUUUUUUAAAAUACAAAAAAAUAUUUUUUUUUAGACUACUUUAUUCUUGUACGUAAAAAUAUGUCAUUAUAUUUUAAGGUAUUUGUAUACGAUGGAAUAAACGCUUGUCAUGCAUGUUCACAUCAAUGGACCCCAAUUCCCGCCAUUGAUCUCUUCAAAUCAAAUUCAAUCCAACAUCUUUUCGAAACCGACUUUUUGUUCGUUAUCAAUGGCUAUGCAAUUUAGGGAUUUUAAUAUCAUCGUCAUGUGCUCUCAUAGACAUUGAGUUUCAAUUAUUGGCAAAUAAAAGAGAUUAACUCUUUGAACGGGCCUUAACACAAGAUUUCUUUAUAGUUCAGUUUUAUAUCAGGAGCUCUAUAGGUGGGCCUUUGAGCCCAAAAAAAUGUUGGUACAAAUCUUGGUAGUAUUUGUUAGUUACUAAGGAAUUAAUCGAGACAUCAUAAUUCCUUUAUAUAGAUAUAUAUCAUAAGUUUCACUCAUUUUUUUACUUUUUAAUUUUUUUGACUUUGCAUUUUCUCUUCUAUUAUUCAUUGUCAUGGAUGAUUAUAAGAUUAAUCCCAUUAUUAAUCUUAUAAGAUUAAUCCUUCAUUACUUGUUUUUAUCUUGAUUCUUGAGCUUACCGUGGAAGAUCUUAAGUUUCAAGAUCCAUUUUGAUGAAGUUUUCUUGGAGUUAGGAAUAUUCAAACAAAAUAAAAAAAAAAAGGAAAGCAAGGUGGGUUAAGAACAGAAAAUUUAAGGGAUCUCUGGCUAUGUAUGAUUUUACAAACAGUUUCAUUACAUAUCUCCAAGUUAUUCUAAUUGGCAAACGGGCUGAAAUUGAAAACUUAAGCUUUCCAUAAUAACAAGAGGAAAUGCCAGAACUGCUCCACGAAAUUAGGCAUACAUUUGAAACACGUUUUGAACUUAAAGUACCUCCUAUAGCAGUAGUGGUUAUUUCAGUAUACUAAUUCCAAAACAGAUGUAUCUGGAACAAUGUUGGAAACAAAGGGCUGUGAAAUAAAAGUUGUCUAUCAUAGCCAAACAAAUCAUUUUUCAAGAAAAAAUAGUUUAUUAUUUCUUAAUGAUGAAUUUAAAAAAGGAGACAAAAAAAAAAUCAUAUGAUUUUUAGUUAUUUUGUUGCUAUCUAACUGGACUAAAAUGAACAAAUGGAAUAUUUUAUAGCUUGGUAUUUCAGGGUAGUAGUUGCUGAGAUAUAAAUUGCUUUUAGGUAUACAAAAGAACAUGAGCACUUGGAUUGUUACAUAACAUGGCCACAGCUUUAUUAUAAGCAUGCGGUUCAAUCUCCUCAUCACCAAGCAACUGAGUUCAACUAUAUAUUUUCUUAAAUAGGCGAAAACAAAGCAUGCAGGAUCAUGGAUGCCAGCAAUUCUCCUUGAAGUAUAAUAUUAACAAAACAUGAGUUUAUUAUAGCUGUGCAACAAAAGACGUACAAGUAGAUAAUUCUAAUUUCGAUGAAAUUCGAGAACGGUAAGUAACAAGUAUUCAUUUUUUGUCCAAUUCUUAAGAUAUGACUAUGUUACAGGUUGCAGAAAAUGCAAGCACAAAAGGCAGAAGCAGAAUAUGAUCCUACCCAGCCAAUGCAAAGCUCUCCUGAGUCCAGUGUGGUGGAUCCAUGACAGCACAGGGAUCUGAUUUCUCAAAGUCAGCGACCUACAGAUGAACAUUUCCAGUAAAGAUAUGGAGUUGCAAACGUGCAUUUGGAAGAAUGGUAUCAAUUGAUUUUAAGGCCAGAGACAGAGAAUCCAAUAGAGGUAGGUACCUUUUCUUGACAGUUAGGACAGUAGUGAUAUUUAUGCCAAAGGCAGUCCAUUGAGGGGCAAAGAAAGCAAACUCCAAGCAUCAUCGGCAUCAAGCAUCCAACAAAUGCAGCCAGACUGGGCUUCGAUCUAUUUUUGGGAGCAAAAUUCAGAACAAUAAGUGAUGUAUGUAAAAAUUUGUGAAUGUUGGGAAUGAACAGAAGUUAGAAAAUCGUUCUAAGAUGAAACCGAAAUUAUCAAAUCCCAAAUUGAGUAAUUGGCAGUGAAGUCAAUGUGAAGUUAGUUCGAAACCUAAAAUCUAAAAAUCAAAAACAAAUAUUCAAACGAGAUUGGAUGAGUAGACAACACCAACCUAAGCAUAAGUAACAAGAUCAUAAUUGUUUCGUGAAAUUCUAAUUUGAUCGGGUAAUAGAGAACAAAUUUGAUUUGAUCGGAAAUUGAAGAGAAGAGAAUAGCAUACCUGACGGUAGUGAGAGCGGUGGCACCACAGUAAGGGCAGUUGAACGGAGCAGGAGUGUCUCUGUAAAUGGUCUGGUGGAUGGGGAUGCCCUUGGGAUCUCCGACCACCGCGUUAGGAGGAAUCACCCCCCUCUGGUAUUCGUUUUCAUACACCGGCACACCAACCACCACUUCAUCCUUUUUCUCCAUUCUCUUCUACCAAAAUGUGCCAAGAGUAAAUAUUAAACCAUAUAAAAAUAUACACCAAAAAUGUUAUGGAAAUUUAUAUCUAUAUAAAUAAAUAAUAAUGGGAUUAUUCCAACGCGUUUUUUCCUCUUUCUAGAACAAAUACCUGUCCGGCACGCCAAAAGUUCAAAUGUUAUUAAUCUUUUAUAAAUUUAUUUUAUAUUUAGUUUAAGUUAAAUGAAAUAUUUUCAAAAUUAUCAAUGAUUAAAAUUAAGUUAAUGAUACUUGUGCUUUAACUCCUGAUUUAUAAAAUUUAUUUUCUUUCGUAAUUUAAGCUUUCACAAUUUCAAAAAUAAGUUGUAAAUUUCAUCAAAUCUUUAAUUUUUAUUUUAUCUUUCCAAUUAAAUGUUAAAAUCAAAUUAUUUACUUAAUUUGUUAUAAAAUCAAUUUAAUUAAUUAAAAAUUAAAACAUUUAAAUGUAUGUAAGAUUAAAUAGUAAAUUAAAAUUACGAAUUCUUAAAAACAUGGAAACUAAGAUUGAAAAAAAUAGAAUAAUAAAAAUCACAGCUGAAAAGUUAAAGUAGAAUUAUAAUACAUUGUGAAAAAUGACAUUAUUUUUUGGUAUAGUUAUUUAUCACAGAUAUAAAAUACAACUUUUAUAUUUAAAUAGUAUUUAUUUCAAUAUUUUAUAUUUAAACAUAAUAUAUUUAUAUAUUUAAAAAUGUUUAUUUAAUGUACAUUUUAAUUAUAUAAAAUAAACACCGGUCAUUUGUAUUAUACUAGUAACUUAAUUCCGUCAAAUGAAAAUUCAGCGCACCACAAAUUCUCAUGGGUAAGCAUAGAAGAGGAAAAUACCAAGAAAUUGCUUCUUUUUUCCAGAUAACAUUCUUCUUUUGUUAACCCGAAAGAAGAUGUUUAUGGUGAUGAAAAUUGUGAAACCUUGUUUAAAAAAAAAAAAAAAAAACUUGACAGAAACUAAAAGUAAUUACGAGUCUCAGGAUGUCUUUCACCAUGAAAUACAUAUAUAUUAUAGGACAUUGGGUCUAUGUCAAGGAUCAUGUGUGAUUUAUCAUCCUAUAUUAUUUUAUGUGAUGUAAAUUAAAAAUAUAUUUAUUAAAAAUAUACUAUUAAAAGAUAUUUAAUGAAUUCUUAAAUAAUAUAAUAAAAUUGUUGAGAUUUUAGUAAUAGUUUCUUAUUGAGUCCGUUAUCUAAAAUAUUUGGGUUGGUUAUGCAUAUAAACUUUUUAAUCAUAAGUUUAAAUUAGACUCCAUGUUGUAACCAUUUUUUUAUUGGAUAAUGAUAUUUAGAUAAUAUUCUUUUUCAAUUGAACAUUGAUUACGUGUUAAUAUGUGAUUGGUAAAAAAUUAUUCCACAAUUAAUAAUAGUAAUAAUCAUAAAAUUAUUGUCGAAUAAUUUUUUAUCAAUCACAAAUUAACACGUAAUCAAUAUUCAAAUAUUUUCAAAAAAUGUUGUCUAAAUAUCAUUAUAUAUUUUUUUAGACUAAGUAGAGUUUUAAGUGAGAUUAGUUAUUUGACCAAACUUAUAUAUCUUUUCAACAAUUUGGCUAAGUUUACAAACCAUUCGGUCGAACUUACAAUUAUUCGGUUAAGUUUGCAGGUAAAUUGGUUGUUUGGUUAAACUCUUAUAUUGUUUGACCAUUUCACCGAGCUUAAAGGUGUAUUUAUUUUGUUAAUUUUUUUAUUUUUUAAUCAUUUGAUCAAACUUACUUGUAAGUUAACCCCUCGAUAGAACUUUAUUUAUAAUUUAUUCAAUAAGAAUAGUCCUUUAAUUUUGUGUUGUUACCUUUGAUGUGACUUGGAAAAUUAAAUUUUUAUAUGAAAAAAUGGACAAAAUUAAAAUUUGCACUGACACAGAAUAAUUAACAUUUGUUAAUUUAUUUUUUUUGUUCUUAUUAAUGCUAACACAUCAAUUAUUAAGUUCAGACCAUUUCUAUUAAUGUAGAUACUUGCUGAUUGAAGACGGUUUCAACUAGGUAUUUUACCCGUACAUUUUGAUCAGGAUGAGUCAUAUACUACCUAUUAUAUAUAUAAAUAUAGUCUAACUUUAAUAAACAAAUUUAUUGGUUAAAUUUGAUUUUUCCUUAUACAUGUAUCUAAAUGAUUAAAAAUAAUAUAUAUAUAUAUAUAUAACUAUACUUAUUAUAAAUAAAAUCUAAAAAAUAAAAUAUUAAACUAUUUCUAUAGUUAUCUAUGAAUUAAGAAUAAACUGAUUAAAUUAUCAACACAAUGAUACGAAAAAUGUAAAAUUCUUUGAACUGAAUAUAUUUUCAAAAAUACAACCAUGAUCGAUGUUAUUUCUCUCUAAACUUAAAAAGUAACUAUUAAAAAGGAAAAAUGUGAAUUUGAAUCGAUUAAUUCGAAAAUAAUGUAUUGCGAUAUGUUUAUGAGUGAUUUGAAUAGAAGAAGUGUUAAUGAAAAAAGUUUUGAAGAGAGAGUAACUGUAAAAAAAAGUGGGUCGAGAGAAAGAAGAGUGGGGGCAUUACAGAGGCAUUGUUGUCAGAUGACCCGCAAUAGUUCAGAACAGAUUCCACAAACAGAAUAAGUGCAGACGGAUGUGCAUUGGGCCUCUCCGCCACGCAUUAGCAUUUUCUCACUAAUCCAACGGCUCCAAUCCAAUCUUUAUUUUCCUUUUAACAGUACAGAUGUUUAUGAAUAAUUUUCCCACCUAUCCUAAUCCUAUCCUAAUUGUCCCAUGUAUUUUCUCUCUCACUUUUCUUCUUCUCUUGUGUGUUUCUCAAGUUUACCUAUUAGUUGCCACCACCCACACCAGCACCAGCCCCGAUACAUUCGGCCAUGCUCCUGUCCGUUUCUGUGCGUCCCACUCUUGCACUUUCUUAUUCUCACACUCCCAAAAUUCUCUUCUCUCUCUUUCUUUUUUUUUUAUUUCCACCAUUGCAACUCUAACCCAACUCACUUCUAUCACAAAUUUUACUCUUUUUAUCACUUUUUUUCUACUAUACUAAAACAAAUAUAAGAACAACUCUCAACAAAAGCUGUUAGCCCCGGAUUCCUAAUUAAAACCUCAACUUUUUAGUUCCGCUUUAGUAAAAAGUCAUCAUGGAAGAACAUAUACUUUACUUUAAAAUAAAUUAAUGAAAAGAUAUAAAAUCAGAGAAACAAUGUGAUAACAAAAUAUCAAAAGUCAUAUAUUUAUUUCAAAUAAUUAAUAUUUUUAUAGUCUUAUUUAAUUACAAAUUAUCCUAUACAAAAAGAUUUUAGUUUUAAAAAACUAUUUUAAAUUCACACUUAAAGUGGGAAUCAUAUAAUUUAACUAUUAUUUCUCACCAAUUAAUUUCUACAAUAUAUAUUAAGAAAAUGAGUUUAAUUAUACUGUGAGAUAUAAAAAACGAUAUUUGCAAAAUAGUUUUAUGAAAAUGAUUUAUUUUUAAUACUUAACAUGAUUGGAAUUCUGUUCUGUUCAAAUACAUGAAUUAAAUAAAAUUCAAUUCAAAUGAAAACUAGGAAAAUAUUAAAGAAUUCAAAUGUUGAAAGAAAUUAUUAAGAAAGAUUAUAAACGGUUUCAAGAAAGUGCCGGCAUUCUUAUGGGUAACCACGAUUCUAGUUCCACUUUAUGUUAUUUUAUUAUCAGUAUUAUAUAUGUUCAGUUCUUGGACAAUCUCAAUGUUUCCCAAUCCCCUCAACAUUAUUACGGGUAAUUUUUGUGAUUUUGAUGAUGUAGUGAAUUAUAGUGAAGUAAGAUUUGCACACAAAAGAUGAGGUUUGAGUUGUGGAAAUGGAUGGAGAUAUUAUGAAGUAGAGUUGUUAGAUUAAUAAAUAGAUAAAUAAAUAAAAAUGGAAUGGUAUGGGAGUAUUAUAUAUGAUAGUUAAAGGGAGGUGGAAAAGCGCGUGAAGUUUGCAGCGAAAGCAGCGAAGCGAGACAAAAUGCAACCCACAGUGGUUCCCUGGAGCUGACAGCUGCUACCCCACAUCGUGAAGAUGAGCGUCGGACACGCGCACGGGGAGAGCGUGUGAGAUGUAUGUAUUUCUACCCUUAAAUGAACAACAAUGUCAAUAUCUCAAGCCUCCCUCCGUAGCCAGUUAGUUCUCAUUUGUAUUGCUUCCAAAAUCUCUCUGUGGGGGGUAUGUGCGUUGUUCAGUACAACUAGUUUUGGUGCAGCUGUUCAUUUGAUUUUGCUGGCUGGCUGGCUGGCGAGCUUCGCAGUCGCAGGUAAUAACGGCGCAUCUUAUCCGAUCAGAUAAAUUAAUUAAUUUAUAUAUAUAAGUAUGUAUAUAUAUAUAUGGUGGUGGCUAGCUUUGUGUUGUGGUUUCCAUUAAUUGUUGUUGGCAACAAUGACAGCUCCAAUCCAAAAAUAUGGAGGCGAUCACUGCUUCCUUAGAGAGGUCUCUUCAAAACUGUUCUUUAAACAACGAUAACCACCAGAGCAGGAGGGAAAACGGGUCAGCCGCAGAUGCAGCAGUGCCACCAGGCUUAGGAAUCUCAUCCACCUCGGACCAUGUCCCGGACACGGAUAAUAAUCAUAACUCUAACUCCGACACCACCUUAGAGCUCAACUCUCACAUCUCACUCCCUUAUCACUGGGAACAAUGCCUAGAUUUAAAGGUUCAAUCCCCCUUUCCUCUUUCUCUUUUUCCCCUCCCCAUUUAUUAUUUUUUUCUUCUCUUCUCUUCUCUUUAACAAAUCAUAAAACCUAUACUCCCUGCAUGAAACUGGAUCUUGCCUCUAGCUCAAGGUUUGGAGCCUGUCUACGUUGUUGUUGUUGUUGUGUAUACCGUGCCCUUCUUUCCAAGACAACAGUUUUCCACAUGUUUACCACCAAAACCCUAGAAAAACGAUUUUUUUUUUUUUCAUUUCCUUCUUUUUCUCUCUAUUAGGGAAGCAAGAUGCAACUUUUCCGAGUUAGACCAUCCUCAAGUCAUAGACAGUAUUUAUUUCUUCUUUUCUGUUAUUGGGGAAUUUAAUUUGUGAAUACGUAUACCAGGUGUGUGUGUGUAUAUAUAUAUAUAUAGAGAGAGAGAGAGAGAGAGCCAUGUAUGUAUGUUCUCUAGUCAUUAGCCUUGGAGAAGAGAAGGACCAGGGGAAACAGUAUGAUUUUUCCUUUAAUAUAUCUUUUUGAUCCUAGCUAUUUGUAAUUCUGAUCCGGGUAAGAGGGGUGUGUUAUUAUUUUUGUUUUCUAUUUCCGUGAUUCCUUGGGUUGGUUCAUUUGUUUGUUUUGAAUUUGUUAUUUGGUGAAAAGAAGGUUGUACGUUCUGAAUUUGUGAGUGUAUGUGAAUGAGUAAUUGAUGAGUUAACAUAUAUAUGGAACAGACGGGGGAAAUUUAUUACAUUAACUGGAGGAACGGAAUGAAAGCAAAGGAGGAUCCAAGAGCAGCAGUGGCAGAGUAUAGUGUAAGUAGGGAUUGUGAAUCCGAAGAAGAGAGCUGGUACGACAGCGAAGAGUCUUCAUCGGAGUCAUGUCCUUCUUCAUCCAAGGAGAACUAUCAGGGUUCGUUAGAGAAACAGAAUGUUUUGGUGGUGGCUGGGUGCAAGGGCUGUCUCAUGUAUUUCAUGGUGCCCAAGCAGGUUGAAGACUGCCCCAAAUGUAGUGGUCAACUCCUCCACUUCGAUCGAUCCGAAAAUGGCUCUCCAUGAUUUCCACUUCUCUUUUUUGUUCCAAUUCCACCCUUCCCCCUCUCCUUCUCCUUGUCUUUUUCUCUCCUCUUAUCAGUGUGAAACUAUAGUUCUUUCUCUUUUUUGUUUAUUAUUUUUAGAUGAAAUUUUCAAUCUUUUCAACUAAGAGACCCUUCUGCACUUCGAUCUUCACCAUAGGUUUUCUUUUUCUUUUUUUUAUUAAUUACUGUUAUUACUUUAACAUUUUGUGUUUCUCUCGGUCCUCAAUAAAUAAAAUGACAUAUAUUCGGUCAAUAUCUACAGUGCUGGCAGUAAGGUCAGUUUUAGAAGAACGAAAGAAUAAUAUUUGUAAUGAUUGCGACGUGUAGCGUUCGUGCCUUUUCUUAUAUUACUUUUAGAAAAAAUUAAAUCAAUGUAUUGUCUCUUGUAGAUUUUUGUUUUACCGUCUAGGUCCACCUUAGUUAUUUAGCGCCAUUAGUUUAUUAUAUCAUUUUUGUUAUUAUUAUAUAUCAUAUGCAUGAUUCAAAAUAUUUUUAAGAGAAUUAUUUAUUUUAUCGUUGUAUUAUUUAAUAUUUUUAACAGGGUAACUCGAGAGUGAAAUUAAAUAAAAAGAAAGAAAAAGUCAUAAUAUUAAAAAAAAAGAACGUUUAUGCUUAACACGUGCACUUAGUUUGAAAGGAUUUUGAAACAUUCUUUUUGGUGAAUAAAAUAAGUUAUCUCAACAAAAUAGAGUAGAGAGAUUUAGAAUUGGUAACAUUUGACCUAACAAAGCAAGUUUUUUCCACUCAUAUUCGAUAUUCUCGCCGAAUGAGCAGGGUUUGAUUUAAAUUCAAAUGUAUGUAUUCUAAUUACAGGGAUUAUUUUGGAAUGUGAUUGAUAGGAUACACGUUAGAUCAAAGUCGCCGUUUAUGAAAGUGGCAUUGUUUAAAGUUAAGUUUUUGGUAAAGUAAGGGUUCGCUCUGGUCAACUGCUUAGGCGUGUUUGACAGAACUUUCUGAAUAAAAAAGUAGGAGAAGAAGAUUAACAUAAGGAGGGUUCGCGAUGGUGGUGGCUGAGUCGUGAGUUGGUGUGAUUCAAUCAUUGCCCACUACGAAAUUAAGAACAACAAAAAAGUAUAUACUUUCACAUACAUUAUUUUUUUCGGAUUUAUUUACUAUUAUUUUUUCCUAUUUUUUAUUCUUCUUUUUAAUAUAUAUAUAUAUAUAUAUAUAUAUGUAUGUAUGUAUAUAUAUAUAUAUAUAUAUAUAUAUAAAUUAUUUUAUGAUUAUUUUAUCUUAUAUGACAUAAAAGUGUGUUAUUAUUUCAACAAAGCUUGCCACAUAACACCGUCUUCAAUAAUUAAACUUAUAUAUUGUUCAACAUUUGAUUACGGGUAAAUUUAUUUCAUGUAUAUAAAUAAAAAUAACUUCCAAGGUAAAUUUCUCAUCGUACAUAAAUUGUUUUAAGUAUGAAAAUUUUCCUUUUUACUUUAUUAUGUAAAAAUCUUACGAUGUUGUGAAAUAUCAAGGAUAAUCCCUUAUUAUAUAUUUAUAGCAUGUUUGAGGAAACUUAGAAAUAUACUUUUCAGCUGUUUUUAUUGUUGAAAAAAUUUAUUAUAUUAAAACCUAAAUAUUUGGGAAUUCGAAUGAAAUUUAUGUUUUUUAAAAUAAACCUUUUUGAAUUUUCAAUUUUAUAAUUUAUUACGUUUUUCUUCAACAUGUUUUCAUUAUUUUAUUAUAUAAAAAAUUUCUUUUAUUCCAAAUAAUAUUAAUUCUAACCACAAUCCAUUAAUAAUAGUUAUAAUAAUCAAUUAUCGGUUAAUAUUAAAAUAACUUAAUAUCUAUGAAUAUUUGAAACCAUUUCUGAUUUCUGAUUUUUUUGUUCAAUUAUCCAUGGCCAGCUACAUACAUUAUUGGGGCUAUAUUUUCGUUUUCUACAUUUUUUCCGACAUUUUUCCUUUUUGAGGAGAGGUUUUAAGUAUUGGUCAUAGGAUAUCGGGCUAGUCCUGUAAAAGAAAAGGGAUAUGUUGAUUUUCCAAGCCAUCUUAAACAUGCAAUCACUACUUCCAUGAAUGCCCCAAUCAAACAUAUCACAUUUUCACUGCCCAAGACAACCACAAAACAAAUGCAAUAUUUUCCUUUCAUCUCUACCAAUAAGCUUCCUCAACAAAUUCGUAUCUUCCUAUUUUGCUUCAAGACAAAAAAUUGAUAAUAUAUAUAUAUAUAUAUAUAUAUAUAUAUAUAUAUGUGUGUGUGUGUUACAAACGUCUUUACUUCCAGAAUUAUCCUUUUAAUAAUAUUAUAUAAUUAUUAUUUUUUAUAAUAUAUAGAAAACUUCUUAUGUGUUUUGAUUCCAAAUACACUAACACUCUUUAAAAUAAGAAUUUAAUUCAAAUUUCAUAACACUCAAUUCAGAGUUAGAUUAAGAGUGAAACAUACACUUACUUUAAACCUUAAAAAAAAUGUCUCUGAAAUUCCUUUUUAGUAUUAAUAUUCUUUUAUAAAAUUAAUUAUAAAUUUUUAUUUAAAGAAAAAUAUCUUCAAAUUUCUUUUAGUAUUAAUAUAAAUUAAUCAUAAAAUUAUGUUUAAGAAAAAAAGUCUUAAGUUUUGUUAGCAUUAAUAUACUUCUAUUAAACUAAUUAUAAUUUUAUAUUAAUAAUAAAAUUUAAUUUGUUAAUUUUGUAUUGGUAUUCAAAUAAUAUUUAACAAGUUAAAACAUUUUUUUUAGAUAAAAGAGAAUGAUUAGUUUUUUUUAUUAUCUUAUAAUAAAUUUUGAUUUCUAUUUUCUUUCUUUAUCUUUAUGUAACUUUUCAUCUAUUGAUUUCAUUUUUUUUCUCUAUUUACUUUUUCUAUUCUAUAAACAUUCUUUUUAAGAGUUUUGACAAAUGUCAUUCUUGAAUUUCAUAUUGUUAAUGUGUAUUCUAUAAACAUUCUUUUUAAGAAUUUUGACAAAUGUCAUUUUUUAAUUUCAUAUUGUUAAUGUGUAUCAAUUUUUUUUAUUUUUAUUUUUUGUUAGUGUGUUUUUCUUUGUAUGUGUUAUUGUUUUUUUUUUAUUUACUGAAUUUGUAUUAGGAUCAGAAAGCAUUUCUUUUGUCUGAUUUUUUUUUUUUAACUUUUCGAUUUAUGGAUAUUUUGAGUUUUUUUUUUUUCAUAUAUUUUGAUGAAGAAUUGAAAUUUUUGUUUAGAUUGAAUUACAGAAUUAUGAACUAAAAGUUAAUUUUUAGUCUUUUGGUAGAUAAUGGAAACCAAAUAUUUAGUAAAAUAUACCAUGAACAAUAAUUGUAAUUGAAAGAUGAAAAUUAAAUUAGUUACGAUAGUUUAAUAUAUAAUUUGGCAAAAAAAGUUGACAAAAAAAUUUUAAAUAAAAAACUUAUUCUUAAGUUUGAUUUAGGUCUUUUAAACUAUUGAAUUAUUUUUAAAUCUAGUACAAUAAUAUAAGAAAAUUUAAAUACAAAUUUAAAGUGUCUUUAACUUUAAAUGUCUAACCAUUAUGAAUCUUAACUUUAUUAUAUAAUUACUAUCAUUCACUUUAUAUAAAUUUAAAUGAUAUAAAACAUCUCAAAAUAUAUUAUUUUCAUUAGAAAAAAACAACUACAACCUAAUAUGAACACCAACUAAAUAAUAUUCUCUUGUAUAAUUACUAUGUAUAAUGUUUAAAAUUUUUUAAAUAAUAAAUAAAUUAUAAUUUAAAAUUAAAAUAUAUCAAAUUUUAUAAUAAAAACAAAUUUUAAUUUUACAUAAUCAAGUUUAAAAAUUACAAAACAUAUUUAAUCUAUAAAAAAUUAGUACACGUUUUAAUAAAAACAAAAUUAUGUAGUACAUGCAACUCUGCAUAAAACAAAAUUAGUUACCAAAGUGAUAAAUGCCCAUUGUAUCAUAACUUCUUUAGUUGUUUACCAUAUUUUUUUAUUAAUUAAAAUAUUGUUUUAGUAUAGGUAAAUAUAAGUUAUUUAAAAUUAAAGAAUAUCACUUGAACAGUAAAAUUUUUGUUUUUAAUAAUUCAUAUUAAAAUGAAAAAGUAUAUUUAUAAACACAUAUUUUGAACAAGUCAUAUUAAAAUGCUCUUAAAGAAACAUUUAUAAAGGUGGAUACACUAAAAUAAUUUGUGUAGUUCAUAUUUUAGUGAACCUCAUUUCUCUUGAAAGUGCAAAAGUUGUAUACAUGGAUAGACUUGCAAACCAAAAAAAAAAAAUACCUGUUAGAAUAUGAUACGAAAUAUAUUCAAGUAUACAAAAAUAAAGUUUAACUUCGACUUACAUCUAAAUAAGAAAGUUUAAAUUUAAAUUAAAAGUACAUUGAACACUAAAUUGUAUAGCAAAAUAUAAAACAAUAAAUUUUGUAUGUGAUAUUUAAUCCUGGUCAUGAUGUAGUUUUUCCAAAUUUUUAUUUUUUGAAUAUUUGUCCACAUCAUUUACAAUACAAUAUAUUAUAAAUAAUAAAUAAUAAUUUUAAAUAUAUUAAAUAUUUUAAUUGAAACUUUAAAUAUAAAAUUUUAUACUAUUUACUUGAGUUCUAAAUAUUAUUAGUUUCCUAAAUCCACAUAUUAAAUAAUUUAAUCUAUCAAUUAUGCAAAUCACACUAAUUUUUUUUUAUGUAAAGCAUACCAAAAAAAAAAAUCUAUACUAAUAUGUGUGUUUAAAAUUUUUUUAUUAUGAUUUUAUUUUUAAAAAGACAUAUUUGAGAAUAAAAGAAGAAAAAUGUAUUUAAAUUAUUAUUGACUUUAACUCUCAAAUAAAGUACAAUUAUUAUAUGUAUUAGAACAAGCUCUUCAGUUGAAAGUUCUCUCUGACCUCAAGUUUGUAGAGAUAAGUUAAUCACUUUAACUGAGAUAUUAUUCAUUUUGGAAAUUAAAACUUAUGUUUGCUUUAUUAGAUAAAGGUGUUUUUUUUAUCCAGAAAAACAAAAUCUCCUUCUUAGCUCAAUCACAAUACAAGUUUUAAAAGCCUUUGUGAUGAUAACAUGCUUGUGAAUAUGUUUAGCAUUGCUGAAACAAAGAGAAAAGUUGAAUUGUGUGAAAUUAUGACGGUAGAGAUAAUGGCACACAUACUUAUACACCAGUGUGCUUUAGUGAAACACUUCUUUGAGUAAGGAAUGGUUCCAUGUGAUUAAGGAAAAUAUUUUGCCAUGAUUGUUGACCCCUCAUAAAACUCUUACAUUUGCUUAGUCAAUUUUGCUUGUGAACACCAUAGUUGAAGCUUGAUUUGUCAAAAGAAACACAAUUUCUCUAGACUUUUUUUAAGAGGAGCAAGCAUGAUUGAUAUUUAUUGUGAUUGUUUGAAAUUGUUUUACUGAGUUGCCAAACCAUUAUAAAUUAAAUGUUUUCAAGACUAAGUUACCUUUUUCUUGAGGACAAACAAGAUUCUAAGUUUCAGAGGGUUAUAAUGUUAAUUUUUACCAUUAUCUCAGUCUUAUUUUAUUAACAAAAUCAUGUUUUUUUUUAACUUUUAACCUUUUUUAUCCUUCA
rnacentral:lncRNA from 1 species